rnacentral:lncRNA from 1 species
ACUAGCAAGGUACGUAAAGUUAGAAGUAAGAUUUACACACACUUUACUUUUUUAGACUCAUGAAAUAUAUUAAUAUAUUAUUAUUUUUGGUGUGUUUGUCUAUAAAUGAGAGAAUUUUUGAAUACACAAAGAAAAGAAUUUCAUGUACACGAAGAAUUUAAAGAGGAGAAAAUUUGAGAGAGGAAAAACACGGUAAAGAAACAUGUAAAUUUAUGAGAAGAAAAAAUAAGAAAGAGUCCUAGAACUAAAAGUGAAUGGAGUGUUUAAAUUUUAUAAGGACAAGAAAAAAGGAUCAAAACUUACACGCAUUCGGUGUAUACACCAAACUAAUGUUCUUUACCAUGGUUAUGUAAUUAAAUUAAGUAAAAUACAUAUUGAUUAAUCAUGAUUAAGUAACAUGAACUUUAAAUUCAAACACAUGACAUGCAUGUAUUGAUUUGGUGUAUAUAUAGAGUGUGUGUAAGUUUUACCAAAAGAAGACUCCUAUAAUUAGUUGCCGUAAUUAGAUGAUGGUAACAAUUUCUUCACAAAAUAAUGUGAUUUUCAUUGUAUUAUUUUAUUUAAUAAAUAUUAAUAUAUUAUACUACAUAGUUCAAAUAACUAAAACUUGCCGCACUCCUUUUUUUUUCCUUUUUUCUUUUUUUUGGGGGGGAGGUUAUAACAAUUAUUAUUUUUUGCAAUAANNNNNNNNNNNNNNNNNNNNNNNNNNNNNNNNNNNNNNNNNNNNNNNNNNNNNNNNNNNNNNNNNNNNNNNNNNNNNNNNNNNNNNNNNNNNNNNNNNNNNNUUCCCUACAAUAAAUUUUAGGAGUCAUUGUAGGAGUCUUUUAAUUUCUUAUAAUUUAGGAGUCAAUCUUAUAAAGAUAAUUAAUUAAUAUUGAAGAAAAUAAGUGAAAAAACGAUUUUGUCUAUUGCGGGAUCUUUUAAUAAAGGGCAAAAAGUUAAAACAAUAUUUCUAGGUCCGUCACACUUUUAAUAUAACUAGUUCAAUCACACGUGCAUUGAACGUGUAAUAUUUGAUUUAAAAUUAAAUGAUUUUGUGUAUUGCAGAGAUUUUUAAUAAAGUGUAAAAAAUUAAAAUCACUUUUCAUUUCCUUUACACUUUAAUAUAAUAUUGUAAACAUAAAAUAUAUUUAGUGUAAACACAUAUAUAUUUUAUCACCAAAAAAUUCAAGUGGAUGAUGGAUCAUCACUUUUGCAUUUUGCAUGUAGUACCUUUUCCCUUACUAACAUAGACGAAGAUAGACGCAUCGAUUUAAACCACAUUUGUGGUACUAUUAUUUUUUUCUUCUAUAUUUAAAAUUGUUCCUUAUUUUUAAAGUCAAAUAUUUAUAAAAUCGUUGAUUCUAUUCUUAUUACGUACUUAAAACUUUUAAAAAUUUGAUACUUCUUAAAUUUUUCAUAUUCUAACGCUUUUAUAUUUAUUUCUAAAUUUUUCAAAUCUUCUUAAAAUCAAAUGUAGUUGAUUUAAAAUUUUUAAACUAAUGAAAAAAAAUUAGUUGUCAAUAAUGUUGAGGACUUCUAAUAUGGAAAGGUUUAUUCAUAAAUAUAUUUAAUCAAUUUUCACUCUUAAAUAUUAGAAAAAAAUAGUGAAAAAAGACUAUUUUGUCUAAAGGAAAGACUUUUAAUGAAGGACAAAAAGUUCAAACAAUAUUUCUAAGGCCCUUCACACGUUAAUAUAUGCUAGUUUAACCGCACGUGCCUCGCACGUGUAAUGUUUUAAUUAUUUAAAAUUAAAUAAUUUUAUUUAUUACGGAGAUUUUUAGUGAAUGUAAAAAGUUCAAUUCACUUUUCAAAGAUCUCUCACAUUUUAAUAUAAUAAUGUAUAACAUAAACAUAUAUUUUAGUGUAAGCGCAUAUAUAUUUUAGCACCAGAAGUUUUUAAGUGGUUGAUCGAUCAUCACUAUUACAAUUGUGAUGCAGUACUACUUUUUCUUGCUGCCAGAGGCUAAGAGAGAGAGAGAGUCAUAUUUGUGGUAUUGAUCGACGAGAUCCGGGGAGGAGUUAAUAAUAAGUUAGAGAUUUGGAGAAGACCCUUCAGUCCAAAGGAUUUUGGUUGAGAAUGAUUGAGAUGGAGUACUUGGAGCGUAAGUUUAGUGAUAUGUCGCAGGAGGCUGAUGUGGUUGUGAAGCUGGACUCUCAGGCCAUUCAGAGGAGGAAAAGUUCCAAGUAUCUAGGGUCUAUGAUUCAGGCAAUGGCGAGAUUGACGAAGAUGUGACGCAUUAUAUUGGGGCAGGGUGAUUGAAAUAGAGGCUCGUUUCGGGAGUUUCAUGUGAUAAGAAGGUGCCCCCCAAGCAUAAAGGUAAGUUCUACAAAGUGACAUUUUGACCAACUAUGUUGUAUGGUGCGCAGUGUUGGCCAGUUAAGAACUCCCACAUCUAGAAGUUGAAGGUGGCGGAGAUGAGGAUGUUGCGAUAGAUGUGUGGCCAUACCAGGAAAGAUAGGGUGAUGAAUGAGAUUAUUUGGGAGAAGGUGGGGGUGGCUUCGGUGGAGGACAAGAUGCGAGAAGUGCAGUUACAUUGGUUCGGGCACGUGAUGAGGAGGGACUCUGAUGAUCUAAUGCGGAGGUGUGAGUCACUGGCUAUGGAUGGUUUUAGGCGGGGUAGAGGUAGGUCGAAGAAAUAUUAGAGAGAGGUGAUUAGGCAUGAUAUGGAGCAGUUACAACUGACAGAGGACAUGACCCUUGAUAGAAAGGUGUGGAGGAUGCGGAUUAGGGUAAAAGGUUAGGGGUGGGAGCGUUUCUUUAUUUGUGUUUGAAGUUUCUUGUUCGUGGGUGUUGAGUGAUGUCUAUGUUUUCGGUUAGAUAGUUUUUAGUAGUAUCUGGUGGCUGUUAUAUUACCUUGUGGAUACCGGUGUUAGUUUAUUUCGGAUAAUGUACUAGUCUAUACGUAUUUAUGUUUUGUGAUUUGCUAUACUGUUAUCGGCCCUAAGCCGGGGGUCUAUCGGAAACAACCUCUCUACUUCUUCGGAGGUAGUGGUAUGAUCUGCGUACACUCUACCCUCCCCAGACCUUACUAUGUGGUAAUCCACAGGGUCUGUUGUUGUUGUUUCUUAUUUUUAAAGUCAAACUUUUAUAAAAUCAUUGAUUACAUUCUUAUUACGUACUUAAAACUAUUAAAAAUUUGGUAACUCUUAAAUUAUCUUAUUCUAACGCUUUUAUAUUUAUUUCUAAAUUUUUCAAAUCUUCUUAAAAUCAAAUUUAUUUAAUUUAGAAUUCUUAAACUAAUGAAAAUAGUAUUAGUUGUCAUUAAUUGUGAUGAUUUCUAAUAAGGAAAAGUUUUAGAAUAAAUAUAUUUAAUUAAUUUUCAAAUCCUAAAUAUUAGAAAAAAAUAGUGAAAAGACGAUUUUGUCUAAAGUAGAGACUUUUAGUGAAUGGCAAAAAGUUCAAGCAACGUAUCUAAGACCUUCACACUUUUAAUAUAUUAUAGAUAUAUAGUAGAGAAGAAUCCAAAAUACCUCUUACGUAUAGAAAAAUAUGUUCACAAAUAUCUUUCAUCCAUUUAUUGGUAGAUUAACUUCGGAAAAAUUUUCGGAAAAAUUUUCAAAAGUAGUAACUUAACAGCUAUAAUUAUAAUUUUUAUAGCAACUGUUCCAUAAUUAGAAAAAAUAGCAAAUAGUAUUUUGUAUUUAAAUAAAAUAUUGCUAUAUAAAUACAUAUACAAAUUGAAUAUUAGUUUCUAUUUUAACUCCCAUCAGCUAGAGUUAAAUAAGGGAAGUAACCGUCCCUUAAUUCAUGCUACAUCGAAUUGUAAAUAUUCCUUUUCCUAAUAUGACUCUUCUGUUUCUCUUUUUUUUUUUUUUUUUUUUUCUUUUUUUUUUUUCCUUUUUUUUUUUUUUUUUUUUUUUAUCCUUUUUAGUUUUUUUUUUGUUCUCUUAUUUUUUUCCUUUCUUAUAUUUUUCUGUUUUUUUCUAUUUUCGUUUUUUUUUUUUUGGGAUAAUACUCACGAAAAUAUCUGAACUUUGACUGAAUUUUCAGUUGAGCAUACUAAACUUUGCGGCGGUCCUAUUACCCCUAGACUUUUUUUUGUAUUUUAAUGACAUAUAUCUGCUCACUUGGAUACGUGUAAAUAAGAGGUUGGUGCAUAUAUUACACCACCAUCUGCCAAAAAAUACACGUAUAAAAAUGAGAUUGACGCGUGUAUUACACCGUCAGCCGUCGAAAUUGGGUAUAGCAUUUCAGGGGAGGGGGGAAUUAAACUACUUUAAAAAGUCUACGGGGGUAAUAGGACCCCCGCAAAGUUCAGUAUGCUCAACUGAAAAUCCGGUCAAAGUUAGGUAUUUUUCUGAGUAUUUUUCUUUUUUUUUUUUCUCAUUUUAUUUUUUAAUUUUGAUUUCUUUUUCUUUUCCUUUUCCUUUUUUCUUUUACUUUAUUUUGACUCUUUUAUUUCUCUUCUUUUUUAUCCCUUUUAGUUUUUUUCUUUAUUUUUUUCUUUUCCAUUUUCUUUUUUUUCUUUUCUCAUAUUUUUCUUUUUCUUUUUCUUUUCCUAUUCUCGUUUUCUUCUUCUUUUUUUCUAUUAUUAUUUUUUUUUUUGCUUUUAUUUUUAUACAUAUAUUUGUAGUUUUUAUUUCUUCAUUUUUCGUUUUUCACUUCUUUUUGUUUGGAUUUUUAUUUUUUGUUUUUUCCUUUCUAUUUUUAUUUUUUUCAUUUUUUACUCUUCUAUCUCUUGCUUUUAUUUUUAAAAGACACAUAUCUAUAUCACAUAUAAAUAUUCAAAAAAUAUACAGAAUACAUAGACAUACAGAUCUGCGUAUGUAUUUACAGUACAAAACAUAUAUAUAUAUAUCUUCAUAUGUAUUUACAAAAAUACAUAUCUAACUCAUAUGUAUAUAUAGACAUAUAAGACAUAAAAUCUCUAUAACAAAAAGUGACAUAAUACAUUUGUCUAAUUGCGCUUGAACUACACAUUUCUUCUUCAUAAUGUAGACAUCAAAAAUAUUCUUAUGACGAAAACUAUGCAUCAUCCAUAAUUACAUAUGCAUUAAUCAUAAGUACACAUGUGUUAUUCAUAAAUAAAUAUGCAUAACUGAAAAAAUACAUAUUCAUUAGUCAUAAAUACAUAUGCACACUGAAAAAGUACAUAUGUAUUAUUCAUAAAUACAUAUGCAUCUAUAAAAAUCUAAGCAGGACUAAACACAUAUUUCUAAAUCAAUAAAUAUAGCAUGUAGCCCCAUAAAAACGUAUGAAUAAAUUGAAAAUACAUAUGUAUUAUUCAAAAAUACAUAUGCAUAUAUGAAAAAAUACAUAUGUAUUAGUCAUAAAUACAUAUGCAAUCUGGUAAAAUACAUAUGUAUUAUUCAUAAAUAUAUAUGCAUAACUGAAAAAAUUCAUAUGUAUUACUCAUAAAUACAUAUGCACAACUGAAAAAAAUACAUAUUCUUCCUUUUUGUUUGACUUCCUCUUUUUCACAUAUUUUGGCAGAUUUGGGGGUUUUGAAGAUGGAAGGUUUUCUCAAUGUUUUCCGUUUCAUGAUUUUCCCAAUAUUUUCUGGCUCGUCACAACACUUCGAUUUCACCUCUUCUGUACCAACUUCUUUGUUCAACUGAAUAGGAGUACAAAUUUUCUUAACACAAAAAUCCACAAUCUUUCAACGAAAAAAAAAUCACAAAAAUCCAUCAAAUAACGUAUCCCUCUGUUAUAACGUACCCCAUCAAAUAACAUAUUCAUCCAUUAUAGUAGACCUCCACAAUCUUUCAAUAAAAAAAAUCACACCCCCCUCCCUUCCCCCUCCCCAAAAGGGAAGAAGACGGUUGAAGAAAAAAAUACAAAAAAAAUAAAUUACAUAAAAAGAUAACAUACAAAUACUGUAAAAAAAAUUUAACUUAUCUUAUUUGAUGGAGCACAAUGUUUAUCAACAGAUUGAGAGAUAAAAGUGGAAAUUGAAAAAAAAAAAAAAAAAGAUACAGUUAAUUGGAGAGAAGUAAAUAUUGCUUGGAAAAAGGAAAAAGGUAAACUGAUGGAAGAAACACAUGCGCCUCUCUAAAUAGUGGGUAAAAUAUUGUUAUUUUUGCUAUAAGUUGUAAUUUAAAAAAAAUAUUGCUAUUUAUUGUAAUUAUAGUCUUAAGAAUGCUAGUUUAUGUAAUUUUUCCUUAUCUUUUAGCUUAAGAAUGUACCACAAACUAACACUUUCUUGAGGAUGUUAUAAAAGAAUAAAGAACAAGAAGAAGAGUAUAGAGAAUGGAAAGAGUAAUUCUUAUUUCUUCUCUUGAGGGAUGAUAUUACAUUGAAGCAAAACCCCUUUAUUUAUAGGAAAAAACUAACCUUAGGGUUUGUAAAUUUUUCAUAAAUAGACAUACACAAUAUAUGGUAAAGUAGGUAUUCACUAUAUAUGGUAAAGUAGAUAUUCACUAUAUAUGGUAUAUUUAUAAUACUCUCCCUUGAAUGUCUAAUUGAUAGAUAAUAUACCUCGUUAAAACCUUACUAGAAAAAAUUCAGUGGAAGAAAAAAAUCUAGUGAAGGAAAAAGAGUACACAUCUCUAACAAUACGCAUAUAGGUUGCCUCAUUAAAAACCUUACAAGGAAAACCCAGUGGGACAAAACCUCGUAAGGAAAAAUGAGUACAACGCGUAUUAACUCCCCUAAUGAGAACAUCUUUGAGCCUUUGUAUCUCGAUCUUGUGUACCAUCUUCUUGAAAGUUGUAGUUGGAAGAAACUUGGUGAAUAAAUCAGCCAUAUUAUCACUUGAAUGAAUUUUUUGCACGUUAAUAUCACUAUUCCUUUUGUAGCUCAUGUAUGUAAAAAAGCUUUGAUGAACUGUGCUUCAUUCUAUAUUAAGAUGUGCUAUGCAUGAUGCAUUAUCUCCAUAUAAAAUUGUGGGUAGAUUGUCAUAUUUCACAUCACAUUUUUCUCAAAUGAGAUGUAUCAUGGACAUCAACCAUACACAUUCUCGGGUUGCUUCAUGAAUAGCUAUUAUCUCAGCAUGAUUCGAUGAAGUGGCUACGAUAGACUGCUUUGUAUAUCUCCAAGAUAUUGCAGGACCACCAUAUAUGAACACAUAGCCUAUUUGAGACUGAGCUUUAUGCGGGUUAGAUAAGUACCAUAGCAUGACCAAUAAGAUCAGGACUGCAAUCUUUAUAAUAAAACAAGCUCAUAUGUUUUAUCCCAUUUUGAUGUCUUAUAGUAGGAGCAGAAAUAUACCUUACUAACAAAUUGACUGAAAAGGCUAUAUCGGUACUUCAUAACAAUCUAAUUCAGUAUAUUUCUCAUUUCAGCAAAUAAUCUAUUGCUUUGAAAACUCUCCAAGAGUUUCAAUAAUUUUUAAGCUAUAAGCUUAUACAAUAUAAGGAUUAUCAAUAAGUUUUCCAGAAACUUUUAUAUUUUGAAUCCUUAAAGAAGUUUUCAUACAAAUUUUGUCAAGUGAAAAUAUUCAACAUUUUAUGUGUGACAUCUUCAAGUGUCUGGACUGCAAAUCAAAUAAGUUUUCAUUUACCAAGAUUCACCCUUUCAUAUCACUUGAUAAAUGUUUCUACGUCAGCAUGCUUAAAUAAACGUAGAAUUCAGAUCCUCGUAAUCUUUCACAAUAUUGAGUCAAUAUUGUGUCAAAGAUAUUGAUGAUAUAUCAUUUCAUAUCGGUUCACAAUGCGACAUAAUAUUUUAAGAUCUCAUCACUUCAUUAUUUUCAGGUACAUGAACCUCUCAUAAGGUUUCAUGAAAUAUUAUGUUGUAGGCUCUUCAAGAGGUCAUUACCUUUUUAUUAUGAUUAUUUGCUCCUUAUUUUUCAAGAACUAUUUCAUUUGAAACCAAUUAGUUUACCAUGCUUCAUGCAUGCAUAGACUUUGUCCUUUAGGAACACAAAAUAAGAACACUUACGCUUAAUAUGAGAUGCUUUCAGUAUUUGACUUGAAUUAUCUUUUGGAUGAGGAUCUGGUGAUAAUUCCUAACAUAUUUCAUAGCGCUUAUAAUCUCCCCCUUAUGUUAGAAAAGCUAACAUACAUCAUCUUCUUUGAGGAAUCCAUCUUUGUGCAUUAUAGUAUAUUCAUUAAUCGUAUACCGCACAUCAAAAUUAUUAGAUGAAAUAAUUGGUUCCCGACCUUGAACCAAUUGAGAGAGAAGAAAUAAUUAUAAUUUAUUGAUCUAAUGCAUACAAGUACUAUUGCAAUAUAUCAUAUUUCAGACCAAUGCAUGAAAUUUUAUUCUCAUUAACAAUGGUUUAGAUAUUUAUCGAAGACAUUUAAUGCUAAACCAUCAUCAUGAAGAUGAAUUAUUUUGAUUACACAAUCUGAAAGUCAUGCUUAACUCAAUUUUAUUUAGCAAGCAACUUUAUGAAUGUCAAACUGCAGGUUGACAAUAAAUGUACAUGUGAUCAUCUUAUUGAUGCAUCAUUUUAACAUAUCAUAUGAUAGAUGAACGAGCCCUUAUUCACCUUUUAUAAUUUUCAGAUUUGAAGGGAUGCAAUUCCAAUAUUAGUUAGUCCAACCAACUUAUCAUGAGAAUAAACGACAUAAACAAUUCUUGAAGAAUCUUCUAGUUCUUCAAUACAUGCACAUCUUCGAGAUGUCACAAUCGUUCAUGUCGAUUUAUGAACUUUUAUUCUAGUAAACUCCAAGUUUACCAUGACAUGUACUUUUUCUUUAGUAAAUUUCAGACUUACUAUUACAUGAAUAAAUUUCAGAUUUACUACUUCAGAAGUAGAUUUCAAAAUUAUUCAACCUCUUUCGGAGGUGAGUUGUGAUACAAUCACAAUCAAGUGCACGUUUACAUUAAUAAGUUUCCCAUUCCCCAGGAAUGGAAUAUAAUCACGCCUUAAGCCUAUCAAAUUAUGAUAGCUUAUAACUUCUUUCAAGAUUUUGCUACUUCAGAAGCAAAUCGAGGCAUAUAUAUGAUGUAGAGAAUUUUUCUCUAACAUAUCUUAUGAUCAUAAUAUGCGUGUGAAAAUAUCAUAACUUUUGAUGAUCAUUAUCAUAUUGUCCCUUCACACUUAUAUUCGUGCAUUCAAUCACUUGUCUUCUUUCAGACAUAUUAUGCACUGUUACCACAUACACCUCAAGAAUGAAGUAAAUUUUCAUAUUUCGGACUUAUCAUAUAUUGCUACCACAUUCACUUUAUAGAAUGGAGCAUAUUCAAUGGAUCAGAUUUCAUGACUUUUCACCAAAUACUCAUUAUUUUGCCUUAACCAUCAUAAUAUCAUCAGUAUGGUAUAUUGAGAUUCUAACUCAAUAUCUUAUCCAUAUAAAGAGGCAUCUUAGGGUAUAAAUCGAUGGGAUUUAAACCCAACAUCUUCAUCAUGGUGCAUCGGGACUCUAACCUGAUGUCUUAUCUUUUUUUUAAGCAAGAUGAAACAUAAGUCCAUUAGUCUUAUACAUCACGUAAGUCCAUACCUAGCUAACAACUAGAUAUUCAUGAUCCAGGAUAAAACUUCAGUAACUGCAUCAAAAUUUUAAGGCAAACAAAAUAUUUCCACAAAAAAAAUUGUUAGAUAAUUCACAUGUAAAAGAGAAGAGACGAGAAACUCCUCUGGACCCUUUUAAAAACAAAACUAAAAAUGGAAUGAUUAUAGAUGGUUAUAUACCUGUAGCAAUUAUUACACUAUUAUAUAUUUGCUUCUAGGCCACGUGAACAAGUAUUAAAAAUACGUAUGGUAUACAGAUAUAAAAAUCUAUAACUAUCUAAUAGAUGGAGAUAAAAAUAUGAUAUUUGUCAGAUAAACAUAUGCAUAAUAUAUAAUAUAUUGUUAAAGUAUGACCAUAAGAUGAGAAUAUGAUAUGAAGUUAAUCUUUUGAUGAACCUAUCAUUAAUUUGAUGGUUGUGUAAUACAACAUCAACCUGUACGUUAGAGAUCAUUAAUUUGAUGGUUGUGUAAUACAACAUCAACCUGUACGUUAGAGAUCAAAUCAGUGUCGGCAUAAAUCAAACAAUAUUAUAUUGAGCAACGUUAUCUUCAUCAAUUUCACAAGAUGUAUGUACUAUUAUAGUAGUAUAAACUUAAUUAAAAAAUUAGAGACUCCUGAUAACGUGUUAUAAAAUAAUAAAGAACAAGAAGAAGAGUAGAGAGAAUAUAGAGAGUAAUUCUUAUUUCUUCUCUUGAGGAAUGAUAUUACAAUGAAGCAAAACUCCUUUAUUUAUAGAGAAAAACUAACCUUGAGGUUAGUAAUUUUUUUAUAAAUAAACAUAUACAAUAUAUGAUAAAAUAUAUAUUCACUAUAUAUAAUAAAUUAGAUAUUCAUUAUAUAUGAUAAAGUAAACAUUUACUAUAUAUAAUAUAUUUAUAACAGAGAGUAUAUUCUUGAGGCCAAAAAAUAGGGUUUUAGAUUUAUUAAUAGAUGGAAUAAUGUUAUGUGAAUCAUUCUCCAUCCAUUAUGGAUAUUUUUGUACCUUUUUCAUAAAUAAAUCAAUGCCUAUCUAUCCUUCAUCUUUUUUUCCCACCGACUAUCCUUCAUUUGAGAAUAAACAAUUUUCGAAACAUUAAUUAUGUUCAAAGCCAAAUGCACCACCCCCAGCUAAAAUAUUUCCUCAUUUCCAAAAUUGUCUGUCACAUUUUACCUUUUUUAUUAUGAUUGUGUCUUUUUUUUUCAUUUGGACGUCAUACAAAAUUUGAUUAUUUUUUGUCAUAAUUUUGUUAUCAAUUUAUUUUCAAAUUCAUCUCUUUUAUCUCUAAUCUCUAAUCUCUAUCUCUAAUAUAUUAAAAGUAUGAAAAUCUUUAGAAAUAUUAUUUAAAAUUUUUGUAUUUCAUUAAAAAUUUCUAUUUUAUACAAAAUUAUAUUUUCCUCAAAUAAUAUAUAUUUUUAAAAAAUAAAAGAUCUUAUAAUUAUUUUGGCAAAUUAAUCUGCCACAAGAGUCCUAAUGAAACAAAAACUCCAUAAGUGUGUUUUUUGGCAAAAUACAAAGUUGCCUUAUAUUUGAAAUCAUAUUGUGGCAAACGACAGGUUUUUUCUUUUUUAAAAAGUUGUGGGCAAAGUAAAAACUAUCAUAGUUUGCCGUAGAGUCAUAUUUUGGACAAACCACAAACUACCCUAUUUUUCAAAAAUAAAAGAUAUUUUUCUCAAAUAAUAUAUAUUUUUAAAAAAUAUGAAUCAUAUAUAUCCUAAUACAAAUUAUAUAGGAGUUUAAAAUCAACUUUUUUUUCGUUAAUAAAUACACUUUUAUAAAAGAAGUUAUUUUGUGUGGUGAUUGAAUUGGCAUGAGGAGAAGAUAGGAAUAUUUGUUUUUCUUUUCAAUUUUUCUUUCCUUAAUUCAAUUUUCUGACCACUUACUUUAUCAUUGUAUUUUAAUUUUUCAGUUGUGUAUUUGUAUUGAUAUAACAAAUAAUAAUAAUAUUUUUCUUUCUUCAUGUGGAUUUUCAAAUUUCUUUCGAGCUUCCAUUGAUCCGUAUAAGUAGAUAAAAAAUGAAAGAACAGUUAGGUUUAUUAAAACUCUCGCAAUACACAGGGUUUGGAAAGGACCAUAUCACAAGAAUCUAUAGUAUAAGUAGGUAACUAGGUAUAAUUAUAUUGUUACACUCUGUAUUUAUUUUAUGCACAAUACUAUAUAAAAUGGCAUUAUAUUUAUUAGCUAGCAACAGCAUUAUAUUUCUCGAGCUAUUGGCAUAGCUUGCAUUGCAAUUGGGGAGUUUUCUUUCUUUUUUGGCAUAUGAAAUGAUUUGAGAUUGUAUUUUUUUUUUUUGUUGUUUUGUCCAAACAGAGGUCAAGUGUUUUGUAUAUACAUAUAAACCGAUAAUGCCAACAUAAAGGAAAAGACUAUGGUGAUUUUUUUGAGGAAUAAGAUAAUUUUUUGACGUAGGUAAGUUUGAUUGAAACUUUUUCAGGAACUUGGCUCCAAAUUGAUGAUUAGAUUGGGUCAUUUAACACUUAUAAGUUGGUUGGCUCUCUUUGUAUGGUUGUAUUGUAUUGUAUUCUUAGUUAAAAUAUAAUGUUAAUACUUUUAAUUUUCUUCUAUCACUGUUUUUAGCUGUCAGCUUUUGCUUUACUAUAGUCAUUUUUUAAAACUUAAGGUUGAGCAGGACAAAAGUGGAAUAUUUGAAGAGUAAAUUCAGUGAUGCGAUCCAUGAGGCAUAUGUGGAAGUGAGGCUUGAGAUGCAGUCUAUCCCCAAAAGAGACGACGCCUCGGUGAGGAAGUUCGAGAAGUUUGAUAUACAUAGGGGUACGAGGAGAGGCAGCGGUAUGUCGAAAAUGUUGAAAAAAGGUGAUUAGACAAGACAUCGCAUAGCUUUGUAUUACCGAAGACAUGACUUUAGAUAGGAAGGUGUGAAGGUAGAAGGUUUAUAGAUAUUAGAGUGUUGUCAUGUUUUGCAAAAGUUUUGGCUUAGCUUGUUGGUGUUUGUGUAUGUCUUAGGAGGUUAAAAAGAUAGGUGGUGGCACAAUAUGACACUGAAUUUUGUUCGAAGCAUCUUGACCAAAAAUCAUGCGAAAAUCUUUAAACCUUGAUGGAAAAACAUUAAGAAGACUACGGAGAAGUCCAAAAAUAUACACAAUUGCGCACAACAUUAAGAGUUCCCCUUUUAGAACUUGGAAGGGGUGGUCAUUGGGUUGUUGAGGUUGAUGAAUGCAUUGGUUAAGAACAUGUUUUUAGAGUCAGUAUUUCUCCAAAUACAAAUCGUAGUACUGGAGCUUUUUAUAUGGCUUUUGGCGACAUCUCUUUAUGUUUAACUAGGCACGAGAACUUUAGGUUAAUCUGGGAGUUCUUAUCUCCAAAGUAGACAUUCUUUACGUGAAUUCGAAUUAAUCAGAUCUCGAGUAGUUACAAGUAAACCAAAAAAAAUAUAGUAAUUAUAAUGCUAUAUCUGUUAAUUACUAUAAUAUUGCUUAUCAUAUUUCCUAUGCCUUGAAUUCUCUGGAGCAAUAUUUGAUAUUACAUCCUGCGUGUUCACAGUUUAACUAGUAAUAUCACUAAAUGAUUAUUUGAAUUACUUUAUCGAGUGUCAUAUAAUUAGUUAAAUAAUACAUUUCUUAUCAAAUAGGUGCGGGAACUUUAUUUAUGAUAGUAUUAGUUAUUUCCAACUUAAAAAUAUAUUUCGAUCUUUGAUUGUUGGGUCUUAUUCACCGAUUUUCGUUACAGAUUCUCAUGUUUGUGUGAAACUAAGAGACGCUUACUGGAGGCAGAUCUAAGCCAUUGAUCGAGCUAUGCUAGUAUCACAUGUGCAAGUUGAAACUCAUAGUUUCAAAACACUCAGCGAAAUGAAUGAGUUCAUCUAUGUAAUCAAAUUUGAUGUUCCAAUUUGGUGGAUAUCACUGGAGAGAUCAAGGGCGUUGAUCAAACUUCCUUAAUUCACCACCAGAUAAUGCUGAGGAAAAUUACUCUCAGAGAAAGAAAAAUCAGGUCUAACAAACUGAGUUGGGUCAGUUGAGAACUCGGAGAGGUAUGAAAUUAAGUGAGCAAUAGCUUUUGAAAGGGAAGCAGAAUCAUUGUACAAGUCCUCUCAUCAAAGAAUCCUAAUCUUUGAAAUUGCUCAAAAUAUGAUCUCCUACCUGAAUAGUAUCUUGGAAUAGUUUUACAUUUAGACACUUUCAAAACUUAUUUUGGUAUUUAGACACAAGUCUUGGAAAAUUAGGUGUUUAGACACUAUUAUGACAUCAUCACUUCUUACAUAUAAACCUACCACACAAGUUUUAAACUUUACACUUUAGUCCCCACCUCAUCCAUUUAAUAUAAUAUUUUCCACCUUUUUUUUAUAUUUUCACUAAUUUUUCGUAUUUCCUAUUUUAAUUUAGAAAAUUAUCCAAGAAGCUACCAAUAGGAGCUCCCUUUUUCAUCAAUAAUUUUCGAUUCCAGCCACUUUUUCGAUGAAAAAUUAUUCAUCACAAUUGAAAAUCUCCAUUCUUCAUCAUUGCCUCCAUUGUUGUUCCAUCCCUUUAGAAAAAAAAUGCAAAUUUUUUUUUUUUACCAUUUCUACUAGCUCAAAAAACUUUCCAAAUCCGCUCAAUAUCUCGUCAUUAGAUAUAUUUCAGUAGUUUAGAAGUCCUACACAUAUAUUUUUCCAUCACCAGAGCUAGGAGGGCAAUGGUUAUAUCGAAAAUCAGUUGAUUCGCGUCUCUGUACGGACGUAUUCAUACUAGUCAUCGACCAUCUAUAGACCGAUACCUUAAUCUAUUAUUGAUUUGUGUGGUCUAUUAUGACAGUAUCUGAGGUAGUUAUCGUGGAUGGUAAUUAUAUGGGUGCAUGGGAGGAGGGUCCCAACUAUUGGAAGUGGAAAUCAUUUAGCGAGGAGACAGUGCCCAUCCCACUGCGUCGCAAUGGAUCGUACGCGACAUGGUUCGAAGAGUAAUUGAGAGCGGAGAAUUAGAAUGCGAGCCAAAGAACGUUGUGAUUAGCUAUGUAGUAAAUGGGCGGGGUAAAACACAUUCCAAGUUCAUAAAUAAUGAUCGGCAUGUGUCGUUAUACAUGUUGGAUAUUGUUGUCGAUGACUCUAGGCUAUUAUUGAGGAUAAAUGUCGUUCCGGGGUCUCUGACAAUCCCGCCACCACAGCCGACAAUCGACAAACAUGAUUCAUUUGAAGAUGAGAGUUUGGAUGCUCAUCCAAUGGAUUCAGAAGAUCAUUCAAUGGAAUUGGAAGAUCCAAUUUUCUCCGAAGAAGGGGGAGAAGAGUGUGAGUUGGGAGCACAAACCAACCACACCUUCUCCGACGGAACUAAUUUUUAGGUAAAUCAAAUAUUUAGCAGCAAAAAAGAUCUAAAAUUAUUGUUGGACGUAUCAGCUGUGAGAGAUUCUUUUGAUUAUGCUACGUUGAAGAGCUGCAACAAAUUCCUCAAGGUGAAAUGCGUUUGUCCUAGCCGCGCGUAGAUGUUGCGGGCAAAGAAGUAUGAAUGCAUGGACAGAUUCAUCAUUUAUAAAUACGUCAGCGAUCACAGUUGCGGCGUCGAAUACGCCACCCGCUGCCAUAGAAAAAUCUCGUCUAAAGUCAUUGCGUCGCUCUAUGUGAACAUGUAUCGCGAGGGAAAAGUUUCGGACACUAGCGAGAUUUGGAGGAUCGUUUUCAAGAACUUUAAAAGUAGACCAAGCUAUUGGAAAUGUUGGAUGGGGGGUAUGAUUGCCAAGAAAAUGGUUCGAGGGACAGCAGAGCAUGAGUAUUCCUGCCUGCCUGCUUUUUCGUACAUGAUCGAGGCUCUUAAUGUUGGCACUACCUAUUCCAUCAUGGUGAACAAGGUCGAUUGUAGGUUUAUUUACUACUUUUUAUCGUUGGGACCUUGUAUUAGAGGAUUCGCCCAUAUUGCAGUCGAUGACACUUAUUUAAACGGCAAGUACGGAGGCGUGCUGCUAAGCGCGGUUGCACAGGAUACGGAGAACUAUAUUUAUCCUAUUGCCUUUUGCGUCAUUGACAAGGAGAAUGAUGUGUCUUGGACAUUCUUCUUUGAGAAGCUGAAGUCUAUUGUGGUUGAUGGACCAGAUUUGUGCUUUAUCUCCGAUAGGCACAAGAGCAUCACCAACGGCUUCGCGAAGGCAUACAACUAUGCUUAUCACGGGUACUGCAUGAGGCACCUAGGUGAAAAUCUUUGGGUAAAUCACCACUGUGGAGAACACCUCUAUCUAUUCUAAAAUAUGGCAAAGACAUAUUCUCCCCAGGAGUUUAGCGACCAUUUUGUGAAAUUCAAGAACUACUGUCCCGAGGAAGCCUUUUUCCUCGAGCAUGAGCUUGGUUUUGAGAAAUAGAGCAGGGCAUAUUUCUCCGGCAACAGAUUUGACGUGAUGACCACAAAUAUUACCGAGUCGGUGAACACAAUGUUAAUUGUCAAAAGGGAGUACCCCAUGGCAUUCAUAUUCAAUUUGAUUGCCAAGAGGUUUGGUGAAAUAUUAGAGAGAGGCAUGCCUACGCCCUCAAAUAUAAGGAUAAAGAAUUUUUGCCCACCGCCGAAAAGAUCUUAAGAGAUAAUUUGAGCGAAGGAGACUCCUUCUAUGUGGAGAACGUAAGCGGGGACGAAAGGCAAUUCACUGUGUUCGGCAGUAGCUGUACGGCCAAAGUCGACCUACUGGAAAAGUCAUCUUCUUGCAGGAAGUUUGGCCUGGUCAAAAUACUAUGCAAUCACGCGAUGGCCUCUUUGCGAUUUAAGCACGGUGAAAAUUAUGGUUUGAGAAUCUAUGAUUACUCUUCACCCCUAUAUAAAGUGGAAGAGUACCUCUUUGCGUAUUUAGAAUCAAUUAAUGUUGUCACUUUGGAGUCCGAAUGGCGCGUGCCACAAGAAUUACUAGACAUGAACAUUAUUCCACCUCUCGUGGUCACCAAGCUUGGAAGGAAGAAAAGAAAACACGUUAAGGGCUUGGACGAGACUUUCAAGUCAAAGAAGAGGAACAAGUAUUCACUGUACAAGAGACUCGGGCACAAGAGAAUCACUUGUAACAACAAAAAAUCGUAGUUAGACUUGUAUGAAUUUGUGUUUUUGUAAUUCAUGGCGUAUGCAUUUUGACAACCCUUCAGUGGUCUGAUUAAUGCCAGACUUAUCGAUUUUACUCUGUGUCUAUCAUCGACCUUUUAAGGUAUUGCAUAUAUUAUGUGUCAGGUCUAUUGCUUGUAUUCUUCAUUUAACACAUAGUUUAUUAUCGAUAACAUAUAAAGUCUAUUAAAAAUCCUAAAUAUUCAAAGGGACAGAUGAACAGUUGAGCAUUUAUUACACAUUUAUCGAUAACGCACGUCCAAUCACACGUUGCGUCGAUUGGGUGUACGCUACCUCUCUUCAAUUUUCACCGAUUUACACGUCAACCAACUAAUGGGUGGGAAGACCAAAGGGUUCUAUUUUGGUCUAUAUGAACACCCAUCUACUAGACUCAAAAUUUAUCUUUAUCAACUCAUAAAUUAGAUUUAAUCGACAAAAUCCUAGACAUUCCUUUGAGACCCAGAAGAAGAAUCCACCGUAGCUAUGACCUUCUCCUCCUCCGCAAUGACCUCAACUGGUUUUUCGAUGGACUGAAAUAGGUCAGGGAACACCUCCACCGCGAACUUUGGUGAACUGCCCAUUUUUUAUGGUCGAUUGUGGAGCGGCUCAACAUGGAGCCGGAGGAGAUGAUCACCCCCCAUCCCAUUAUAUUAGUUUUUUAAUUUCAAUUGUUUUUUUUUUGUUUAAGUUCGUUGCAAAGAGAAGCUUUCAUGGUUGGGAAUGUUAGAUGAAAGCUUUUUCAUUUUGAUUUUUUUGUUAUUUUUGCUGUAAAUAUUGUUCUACACCAUCAUUGGAACGAAGUAUUCAUGAAAUAUGUUUGUUUUCUACAUUCGUCUAUUUUUUAGUUUUACAAUUUUGUUCUGGUUUAAUUUUUUGCAAUUUCUGAUGUUAGAAGAUGAAUCAAACGGUUGUGAGAUGUGAAAAUUAAUUCAUAUAUGAUAAUGGAAAAUUAAUUCUUGUUUUCAGCAUUUUUCUCCACUGUAAUUUUACAAUUUUCCCUUUUUAGAAUUUUUGUAUGAGAUCAAGUUAGAAGAUGAACGGGAUAGCUGUCAAACGUCAAAUUAAUUCAUAUAUGCAAAUGAAAAAUGAAUCUGGUCUAUCCGUGAUUAUGUUGAUUUAUACAAAAUUAAAUGCAAAGUGGAUGGAGUUUAUUAUAUACUAAUCUCAAUAUCUAUGCUCUAACAUAUAUGUAAUCGAUUCAAUCAAUAAUAUAGAUCCAUCGAUUGUGUUCAGUGUAUUUCAUAGACUGUAAGCCUUGUCAAUAAUAUACCGUAUUGGUUUAUUGCCCUUAGUAGCAUAUUUGUGAAAAAAAAGAAAUAAUUAAUCAAUAAAAUAAUAAAUAAUUAGAUUUUAUGCAAUUAAAGGAGCUUGAACAAGUCAUGUGAUUGUAUGAGAGUCCACGUAAAUUGGAUAAGGUGAUCAAUAAUGUGUGAGGAUGGGUAGUGGAAGAACAAAUGAAUUCCUUACAACAUACUUGUGCUUGAUAAACAUUGCCCUAAGAAUGUUGGUUGUUCAACCACAACUCAUCACCUCAUAUCUUUGAUCACCACUUUCAAUUUAUGUAGACUCUCAUAUGAUCACAUGAAUUAUUUAGGCUCAUUUGAUUGCAUAAAAUUUAAUUAUUUAUUAUUUUAUUAAUUAAAUAAUCCUUUUCAAAAUAUGUGCUAGUCAUGGUCUAUAAAUAUGUGUCAUAGUCUAGUGCAUUUAUUAAUGAAGUUGUACAAAAUCUAUGCUAGACAAUGCUUAGUUUUAUACUCAACCUGAUAUAGUCUAGCAUAGACUCUAAACUACUUUCACAAAUAAAUAACUAGACUAAUAUUUAUUCAUAGACCAUAACUAGCACAUAUUUUGAGAAGAAUUAAUUAAUUAAUAGAAUAAUCAAUAAUUGGAUAUCAUGCAAUUAUAUGAGUCUAAACAAGUCACGUGCUCGUAUGAGAGUUCACAUAAAUAGAAAGUGGUGAUAAAAGAUGUGAGGUGAUGAGCUGUGGUUGAACAAAUGAAUUCUCCACAACAUACUUGUGCUUUGGUAAACAUUGCUCCAAGCAUGUUUGUUGUUCAUCCACUACCCAUCCUCACACAUCCUUGAUCACCUUAUCCAAUUUACGUGGACUCUCAUACGAUCACAUGACUUGUUCAAGCUCCUUUAAUUGCAUAAAUUCUAAUUAUUUAUUAUUUUAUUGAUUAAAAUUUUUUUCUCAAAAUAUGUGCUAGUUAUGGUCUAUGAAUAAAUAUCAUAGUCUAGUGCGGUUAUUAAGGAAUUAACUCUUAGUAUAUGCUAGAUUGUCUAUCUGUUAGGUGAAUCAUCUACCAAAAGCUUGAGAAGGCAUUGAUUAUAAAUAAGGUCUAUGAAACAAGACCAGCAGUAAAAAAAAUAAAAAUAUCAGAUUUCUACAACGGUAAUAAAGUACACGUCAAAUCAACACCCAAAAGUAAUAGCUAACUUUUUUCUUCUAUAAAAGGAAGGUUAUUUUUGUGUUAACAUUCUUAUUUCUUUUGCUUUAAUUUUUGUUAACAACUAAAAUGUUUCAAGCAUCCUAAAAAUCAAAUGUAAAAGUGUCCUACAUAUGUCAUUGUGGCAAUCCAGCUGUUUUUAGGACGUCACGCACCGAUAGAAAUCCAGAUAAAAAAUUCUUUAACUGUGCGGUUGGAUAGGAUAAUGGAGGAUGAUCUUUAUUAAGUGGCUUGACGAAGACUCACCGACGAGCAGCCCAUCGACAUCAAAUUUUUGAGGCGCUUCCAAGUUUCAUAUACUCCAAAUGCUUCAGAAAUCUGAAGAAAAUAGAGAUCUACUCAUGACAUUGCUAAAAGAAACUGAAGAGCAAAGGGAUUACUUGAAAGGAUCACUAAAAGAAGUCGAAAUGGAGAGGGAUCAAGUAAAGCAAAGGCUGAUUUUGGCCGAGGAAAAAGAGAAAGGCCUAAAAGAUUUAUUGUAUAGUUUAAUAUUAUUGUUGGCUUUCUGGAAAGGUGUGAUAGGGAUAUAGGAAACUGAAUAAAUAGAUGUAAAGUUUCUUAAAUCAAUCUUGGGCGUAAUCUAUAAUUAAUAGAGAAUUAUGUCUAUGUCUUUUAUCAUCGACCUCUAUAAACCAUGAUAGUUACUGUAAGUAAAUAUAUAAAUUACUCAAUCGAUAGUCUGUUAAGUCUAUAAAUUAUAUAGAACAACUUCUAUUAUGUUUCCAAUCAACCACUAUAAAUUAGGACAAUAGCUGAACUGGUAACAUAAUGCAGCCAGCUGUUUAAUCUAAUGAGACAAUGGAAUAACUGAACAUUAUUUCAUCAGUAAAUGUCAUCAUUGACAUGUUAAAUAUAUGUAAUUCAAUUAUCCAUAAAUAACAAAUCACUAAAAAAAAUCAUUAAGAAAGUUGUUUGUUCCAAAUACACAAAACUACAUGUUUUCUUAAUUGAGUUCCACAACAAUGCCCAUCACAUCCACUUCUUUUUCUUCAUGUUUUUCCCCUCUUCUUCAACUUCUUUCUUCUCAUUUACCUUCUGUUCUUCUUCUGAUGAUUUCUUCUCUUCUUUGGUGUUUUUAACCUCCUGUUCGACCAUUAAUUCAUCUUCAACUGCCUUCUCGUUUUUGUCUUCUUCUUCUUCUUCUUCUUUUGAUUUGUUUUCACCAUCUUCUUUUAUUUUCUCCUCAUUUUUUUCUUUUGCUUCAACUGUCAUCUCCUCAUUUUUUUUUCUUCUUUUUCUUCUUUCUCAUCUUCUUCAUCUGGUGCAUUCUCCUCUUCCAUUUCUUCUUCUUUCUUUUCUUCUUUACCUUUUCUAUCUACUGCAGCAAUGUCUGUCAUUGCGACUGCAAGUUCUUCGAGGUUUACUUGAUGCCGGCUACAAGGGGGACUGUCGAGGUGCACUAUAUUGUUUUGAAAGGAUUACUAAACAUAUGCAAGAAAAUUAAAUUGGAAGAGCAAAAAAUAAAUUAAUUUACCUUCUUCUUGUUGCUUCUUCUUAUUCUUCUCGAUUUUUCUCAGUCUCUCAUCUCUAACAAAAGAAGCAAUAUCCAGUAAACUUUUCUCGAGCAAAGCAAUGCGCUCACACAUGUCAUCGUCAUUAAAAGCAUCUGGUGAAGUUUUAAGUCCACUUGAACCAGCAUGAUCACAAGCGCGUGGUGGACUUGGAACAUAAUGGUGGCCACCCAAAUCUUCGUCUUCAUCUGCGGCCUCCACUGAUGAAGUCAGGACAGUCAUGCCUUUUAGCUGCGCCUUCAACGCAUCGAUGGACGUAUCUUUAAAUUAGUCCGUUUAUGGCUUAAAAGUUUUUAUGUAUCUCUGCUCCAUCUCACGGACAGUAGGGGUAAGGUACGGAUGCACAAUAGACAAAAUAAAAAUAAAUUACACGACAUUCGUUAAUAUAAUAAUAUUAGUGUCAUAUCAUAAUAAGUAUAAUUUUACCUUUGUGUUGUUUCCUUUGUACUUAAACGGAUCGUUUUUCAUUAUGUUAGCAUACUUCGACGUGUGCCAUCGAAGAAGGCGGAAAAUGGGCAGGGGAGAAUCCAACGACUUACUAGGUACCUUCCCAGAUGAGGAAAGACCUCAUAUAUCAAAACCUGCAAUCAAUAGAAGCACACGUAAGUCUACAAUGUCUAUGUAUUAUUGCAUAAAUAUGUAGGAUUCUAUAAAAAAAACCAAUAAGACAGUAGAUUGUAAGUACCAGAAACACCCAGGGAAAGCCAAAUAACACGUAUGAUGCCUUAUUCCUCUUGACAAAAUCUUCUUUUUCCUUGGUCAGAUCAGUCUUCUUUUUCAGAUAGCUCAAGGUCACCUCAAAAAACUCUUUUCCCCAUGGAUAUCCCCCAAAGAAUUCUAAAUCAGCCGCCAUCUUAAUGUGGUCCGAAUCCACCUUAUUUGACGGGUCCUUUGCCAGUAGCAUCGCGUGCACAAACCAAACCAAAGCUCACUUCAACUUUUAUUGAUUAUUCAGCCUAUUACCUUUCAUUAGGCUAAUCAACUUUGCAACAGUAAUGCUCUUAUUCUUCGUCACCUUAAAAUGAAAGCUUUCUCCAUUUUAGAGGACUUUGUUCAUUUUUUAUGUACAGGGAUAUGCUGAACAAUUCAGCCCCGUAAUCAUAGCAAAUUCCUUUAAGCCGAAACAAACUGGCUUACCGUUCAUACAAAAUCAAAUUUCAUACAGUUUUUUAUACGGCGCAGCAACAUAUAAUGAACCAUCUUCCAUUAAAAUUAAAAUGUUCCGGCAUAUGUCUCAAGUGUCCGAAACAUGUCUUCUUAAAAUCACAAUAUAAAUUUUGUUCAACAAGAACCCGUCUAAACUCUCAAUACACCGCCAUUCUUGCUCUCACAGAAAUCUUUGCAGGAAAAGAGCCAAGAUCAUCUAUCCAGGUUAUUAGGCUGUACGACUCAAUAGAGAUAUCUCUCGCACAAAUUGGUAAGGAUAGGGGAUCCUCCUUCCCAUCUCCGCUAUCUCUCCUAUCCUCAACAUCCCCGCUAUCACUUUCACUUUCUUCUACGCUUUUCCCCUCGCUUUUGCCUUCAGUAUCCUCAACAUCCUUACUCUCUUGUGCACUACUUUUGUCAUAUUCGAAAAUAUCGGCAAGAAUUUUUUAUUCGAUUUUCGACUCCAAUUCAUCGACUAUGGGUUUUUUUCUCUUGGAAGUUUUCAAAACUUCUUCGUCUUUUCGCUUCCUAUUGGUAGAAGCAGUGGAAGCAGGACUUUUAACUACUCUAUGAACUCUUUUCACCAUUUAUGAUCUAUAGCAAAAAAUGAAUCUGUAGUGGUCGAUUUAUCGACCACUGGUCUAUUAAUAAAAAUGAACCAAUGCAGCAAAAAUAAAUCUGCAGUGGUCGAUCUAUCGACCAUUGAUCUAUUAAGAAAAACAAGAAAAAGCCUCACAUCAAACAUGCAAAUCAAGUUCCAACUUCACCAGAUAUUGGCAGUGCAAUUCACAGCAGUAAAAACACCAUUAAAAUGGGUCCAAUUCAGUACAAAAAAAUUCAAAAUUAAAUGCAAUAUAACUACAAAAUUGAAAAAAUUUCUAAUCAUUAUCCAAAGCAAAACACGAUUAAACAUGUAAAAUCGACAAUAUUAACUAAAAACACUCAAAUUUCGACUAAUUCAAUGAUGAAUAGUGUAAUUUUUGUCAAAAUCGAAGAACCCCAACACAGAGCGUCAUCGAAAAAAUUACUAAAAUAGAUCUAAAACUGUUUGGGAAAGAAAAUUACACUUACCUGAGCAAGAGAAAUUAAAAAUUUUUGCCUGAGGAGCAAGAAUCGAUCAAAUUUUUUUGUUCAAAAAAAUAGGAAUCAAAAUCGGGAGAAAGAAGGUUUUGAUGAGAGAGAAACGUAGUUGAAAAUAUUAAAUGAUUUUAAUAAAUAUUUUAAAAAUAAAAAAAAAUAAAAAGGGAUCAUGUGGUAGUUUUUGAAAAGUUGUAUUUUUUUUUAAUUUUUUAAAAUAUUAAAGGAACCCAUGACUCCACAACCCUGAUCCAUUUUUUACCUUUUUCAAGACCUAACCCUAAAAAUAAAUCAAAAAGAAAUUUGGUGUCUAUCCCUCAAAAUAAAUUUUGAAAGUGAGUAGGAAUCAAAAUUGUCUCUAGUAGCUUCGCUUUCGUAAAAAGAGGAAAAAUCGGGAUUCGUUGUAAUAUGUUUUUUGAUGACAGGGUCGGGGUUGCGGUGGAGAUCGAACUGACUUUGGUUCAUAGCACAAAUCAGGUUUAUUGGUAGCGGCUGGGAAGUAGCGUUCCGAAGGUUAUUAUUGUUGUUAAUCAAUAGUAUAGAACUCACGUUGUCAUUUGUGGAAAAGGCCACUUUCAUUUUUCUGAAAAAAGGAGAAAAUUGUUGGUAACCGUAUUCUCAGUCGCAAAAAGACUACUCCGAUCCUAAAUUUGUGAUUUUUUUAGGUUUGCACAUCCCUGAGAAACUACUCAUUCAAGAAAAUAAACAAUAUAUACUCUUCAAGGUUACUAAAAAAUUUUUUAUUUAAAGAAGGGUAAAAUUGAAAAAUCAUGAGUAUCUUCGUGAUUAUCUAAAACACCAUUUAUUUAGAGGGUGAUUGGAUAGGAUUAAAAUCUAGUCAAACUAGAUUUUAAUUACUUUUUUAGUUUUUUUAGGUAUUUGGUAAAAUUAAAAAGUGCUUAAAAAAAAGCUAAAAGUGAAUUAAAAAAAGUAAAAAUUGAGAAGCUGGAUACCCCCAACUUUUUACUUUUUAGAAUAAAAUUUUUUUAGGUUUGGCCAAAAUAUUUACCUUUUUAUCCUUUAUAUUUUCUUCUAAUUCUAAUAAUACCUUAAACUUUGUAGCCCUUAUUGAUUUUUCUUUUUUUUUUCUUUUUGCCGUUUUUUUUUCAUAUUUUUCCUCAUGUUUUCUCUUCGUAUUUCUCCUUUAUUUUCAAAUAAUCCAUCAUUAUAUAAGAAAACACUCAAAAAAAUUAUCGUCAAAUCGAGCUUGUGGUAAGUUCUUCUCUAUCCGUUCAUAUAGAAUCUCUCCAUGUUAUUUAAAUUUUAAAAAUUGAUUCUUUUUAAUAGUUUGUUUAAUUCCUAAAAAUUUUAUGUUGUUUAUAAGCUUGAAAUAUUACAAUAUAAUACAAUAUUUAUAUAAAAAAUAUAUUAAAAUUUUUAUUUUUAAUAUUUAAAAAUAAAAAAGUAACUUAUAUUUAUAAAUUGACCUGGUAUAAUCAGUUUUGAAAGUGUAUUUAAAUAGAAAUUAUUUUUAAAGUAUUAGAAUUAAAAAUCAUAAAUAAUUCACGUUAUUAUGUGUUAACAACUUUAACGAUAUUUAAGUCAUUUUGACAACAAAAAGUUGAUUGACAACACUUGUUUACCAAACACAUCAACAUAUUAUUUUUCAGUUUCAACACUUCUAUGUAAACGCUUAUAUCCUUAAUUUAAAAACACUUAUUUUAAGCUUUUAAUCACCUAAGCAAAAGAGUAAUUUUUUUAAUCUUAUCCAAACUAGCUCUUAGUAACAAAAUGAAAAAGUUAGAUAAGCAUUUAUUAGAAACAAAAUGAGUAUAUGAAACUUACAAGAAAGUCACUGUUUAAUUUUUGUGUGAGACUAUGUUAGUAUGGUGUCUAUGGGAAAUCGAAACCAAAAUAAGCCACGAAAUUUAAAAAGUGACCAAAAUAGGCCACCUAUUUAAAAAGUUAUCAAAAUAGGCUAAACGUAAUAAUUUAUUAUGUUUUUCACUUUUUUCUUAACGGUCAACUAACGGAAUUGACUUUUUAUAAAACGUAAUAAUUUCUUAUGUUUUAUAAAAAAUAUAUGUAAAAUAUAAGAAUUUCUUACAUUUUACACGAAAUUCAAGAUAAAGUGUGACAGUAUUUUGUCACAUCAGUAUUAAAUAAUUUUUUCUAAAAAUAUGUGCCAAAACGUAAUUUAAUCUUACGUGAUUCAUUUUUGGAAAUUUAACUUUUAAUGUCACAUGACCGUGGCCCCCACUCCCCCCCUCCAACUUUCGUUUUCUCUAUUCUAUUUCCUCUUUCAUUGUUUAUUAUUUUUUCACACACUUUUAUUCAAAUAAUUUAUUUUUUCUCUCUAUAAUAAAUUUUUACAUUUUACAUAAAAUUUUAAAAAUAAUAUAUAAAAAAAAAUCAAUUACUUCGUGAACUUAGCACUUUCCUUAUAUUUAUUCUAUAUAAAAAAAUAACCGCUUCUAUCCUUAAUUAUUCGAUUUCUCUCUAAAAAAUUAUACUUUUGAGUUGUAUAUUAUAGUUAUAUUGGUUAUCAAUUUUUUGUUGUAACCAUAUAUAUAUAUAUAUAUAUAUAUAUAUAUAUGGAGAGAGAGAGAGAGAGAGAGAGUGUAAAAUAAUUAUUUAGUAUAAUCUUAUUGGAUUAUCGGUUUAUCAAUAAAAAAAUUGAAAUUGAACAAAUAGUACAAUAAUUUUUGUUUUAUAAAAUCAUUAAAAAAUAACGAUAAAUUAAUAACAUUUUAUCGGUAUGAUUUCUUUACACUCCCAAAUCAAAUUGUGAUUUUUUUUUACUCUAUUAAUUAUAAUAAGAAACGUAUUUGGGCAUGUGAGUCUCCUCCAUAUCCUAAUCGAAACACUAAUCGAAAACUACAAUGAAACACUAACCGAAAAAAUUAAUCCAUAUUUUUAACACACAAAAAAAUAUAAUUCUUUUAGAUAAUAUCAUAUUUGAUCGACAAAAAUUUAACAUUUCACUAUUUUGAAGUAGAGAAAAACUCAAAAGUAUAAUUUUUUUUAGAGAGAAAUCAGAUAAUUAAGGAUAGAAGUGAUUAUUUUUUUAUAUAGAAUAAAUAUACGGAAAGUUCUUAGUUCAUGAGGUAAUUGAUACUUCUCUUUUUUUAAUUAUUUUUUAAAUUUUUAUGUAAAACGUAAAAAAAUUAUUACAGAGAGAAAAAAAAAUUAUUUGGACAAAAGUGUGUGAAAAAUAGUAAACAAUGAAAGAGGAAAGAGAAUAGAGAAAAAGAAAGUUGGGGGUCGGGGCCAUGGUCAUAUGACAUAAAAAGUCAAAUUUUCAAUAGUGAAUCACGUACAAUUACUUGAGAAAGUUGAAGAAUAGUUGUCUUUUAAGUCUUGAAUGAAGGAUUGAUGACAUUGACCAACAGAUAGGGUCAAACAUUAUUAGGAAACUUGAUCAAGUUAAUUGUGGACUUGAUUAAUAUUUUCAAAACUUUCUAAUCUUUUCAAAAAUACAAAUCAACCCAACCCACACCCUCUUCAAUCCAAAUCAACCACUUUCCCCUCUCUCUCGAGAGCUUCUCUCAAAUCUCUCCCAACCAACAGUUCUAUAAAAUUUCUCCCUUCAAUCUCCGACGAUAAAUAGUUGGGCUUUGAGUUUCCCUCUUCAAUUUAAUCAACCUGUCUCUCAUCCCUCUCUCGACAGCUUCUCUCAACUCUUUCUUAACCAAUUGUUCUGCAAAUUUCUCAUUUCAAUCCUCGACGACUUCAAUAUCUGACUAUAAAUAGUUAGGCUUCGAGUUCCUUUUCGACUUUAAUCGAUGUGACAGCCUUGCUCUCCGGCCACAAUAGCUUCGAAUUCUUCAUCGGUCCUUUUCUUUUUUCACAAAUAAAAAUAAAAGGAUAAUUUGGUUUGAUUUGUUCUGUUCUUGGUAAAAAUAGUGAAAUUGCUGUUUUUUGUUUAACAAAAUUGUGCUACGAUUUCCUCCGACAGAUUAUCCAUCUGGUGCAACAUAUUAACCAUCUGAUGCAACAGAUUUAUCAUAUGAUUCAACAGAUCAACCAUCUGAUGCACCAGAGGAACCAUCAGAUUACAAUUCUGAUGCAAUAGAUUAAUAAUCUGAUGCAGCAGCUUUACCAUAUUUUGUAAUAGAUUAAGCUUUGGAUAAAAAAUCUAAUGCAAUUAAUUAACUAUCUGAUGCAAUGGAAGAACCAUCAGAUUAAUGAUUUGAUGCAACAGAUGAACCUCCUAUUGAAUAAAAUCCUACCAACUCUUCCUACAGGAAAAGUCCAAGACUUGAUUUUUCCAACUAAUCAUUCAUCUACCGUGAUAGACGGUCCUAUGUUGGAAGAAAUCUAAACAAUAUUGACCGUUGAUAACUGUUCCAAUAGAUCACUCAUGUGUUGCAACAGAUGUCUGACCUAUUGCAUAUACCAUUCAUCUUUCUCAACAGAUGAGUGAUAUAUUUUGUAUUAUCACAACAGAUUACUCAGCCGUUGCUAUAGAUUAUUUAACUGUUCUAACAGAUCACUCAUAUGUUGCAACAGAUGAUGUCACAACAGUUGUGUGAUCUGUUGAACAAACCAUUCAUUUGUCUUAAAAGAUGAGUGGUAUGUUUUGUAUUGUUGUAACAGAUUACUCAUUUGCUGCAACAGUUUGGUUAUAUGCUACAAUAGAUAUACUACCUGGUGUAACAGAUCGGUGAUCUGUUGCAACUGUUAUUUUACUGUUUUGCUUGUUUGAUUUAUUGUUAUCCUUUUUAACGAUUCAUUAAUCAAUAAUAAUUUAUUAUUUUAUGUUUCUAUUAAUUUUAGAUAAUAUGGUUUCCAAAAGAACAGAAACCGAAUCAAAUCCAAGUAAAGGAACAAGUGAAGCAGUUAGGCUACAUCCACCACUCUAUGAACUUGCUUUACAAAAGUUAUCUCAAUCGAAAGCAGAAUAUGAUGAACAUGGGGAAGAGGAAUGUUUUAAAAAAAAUGAUGCAAAUGCUAAUAGUCCUUCUACCAAAGAGCUGGUCAAAAACUUUAGCAUUGAUCAUUAUCCUGUAAGAAUGCAGUGCGAUGGUGCCGUAGAUUUAACGGGUGAUUUCAUGGUAAAGUCAGCCAUGGAAAAAUCUUUUGACGCCAUCAGAAAAAUACUUUGAGAACAACAAUUGGAUGCUUAUUUCAGGGAUAGCUUCUUUAGGAAAUAUUUUGAUUUAUCAGAGGACAACAAUGCUCGUUUCCAAAUGAAAAUGGUAUAUGAACUUCUCAAGCAUAGGUUUAUGUAUGAAAAUAAAGAUAAGAUGGAUGAGGUGUGGAUAAAUUACUGUGGCAUGCCUGUUUAUUUUGGUUGAGAUGAGUUUGCCAUAGUUACUGGACUAAAAUGUUAUCCUCCUUCUCAAGUUAUACCUAUUAUAACCCAGAAAAAAGCACCCCGCACAUCCAAAAAAGGCAAAGGUAAGUUAUGUGAUCGUGAUGACCUGGUGUCCAUUGUUGGUCCAAUCUUCAAAAAUAAAAAUUUGAUAGAAGCGUUGAAAGGUAAAGGACUUUCAAAGAAGCAUAAGUAGUCAUUGUACUUGGUUUGGUUUGUACAUAAUAUUCUUUGUGCGAUAGAUGUUAACAACAACAUAAGCCUCAGUUUAAUAAAGCUCUUUAAAAAUCUUGAGGCAUUUAACUGCUAUCCAUGGGGUUAUGAAAGCUUUAAAAUGACUGUCAAAUAUUUGUUAACUCUGUUAGCACCAAAGACAGUCAACUUAUAUGGCUUCCCAUGGGCUUUCAUGGAAAAUGUUUCUUUCUUCUAUUAUGAUAUCAUUCAUUUUUUUUGCUUAAUAAUGGUUUUGAUUUAUUGGCGUUGUUUUAUAUAGGUUUGGGCGUUUGAAGCCAUUCCUUAUUUGAGACAACAAGUGACCUACCAGGAAGGAGUUUUCUGUCCAAGAAUCUUGAGAUGGUUGUCGGUCAAAAUUGAUAAAAAUGCAAAAUUUCUUGAUCUCUUCAAUCCCCCGAAGGAUGUAGUAAGUAUAAUUAUAAUUACUUUUUUCUUUUAAUUAAUAUUUUUUUAAAUGAUCUAAUCAUCAUUCUAAUAUAUGUUAUGAUUUAUGUUAGAAUGUGCAUCCGUCGCUAGUUCCGAUCAAUCGAGAGUUGAAGAUGCCAUUUUUCUUACUUUACGGUCAGUGCAAACUUUAUCGGACCCUAAGGUUAUNNNNNNNNNNNNNNNNNNNNNNNNNNNNNNNNNNNNNNNNNNNNNNNNNNNNNNNNNNNNNNNNNNNNNNNNNNNNNNNNNNNNNNNNNNNNNNNNNNNNNNNNNNNNNNNNNNNNNNNNNNNNNNUUUGCCUCUCCCAGUGAAUGUUUUGCAUGCAAAUGUCAAGACUGCAGGGUGAAACAUGAUGUAGUGAUUAAUGCUAUUAAUGCAUUAACUACUUCUGUAAAGGAAUUGACAUCUAAGAGGGGUUUUAUUCCAUCAAAGAGGAUUUUAUUUCCAUCCGCUCCAUUAGAGAUUAGGGCUAAGAGGAGAAGGAAAGUGAUUUCCAGGGCAUUAUCAGGCAUCCAAAAAAGCGAAAUUGCAACUCCUCUGUCUGCGUGUUGCACUGAGCAACGUACAAUAUCCAAAGAAGAGCAGCACGAGCUGAAGAAGGUGAAUAUAUUAUAUGUCUUCCAACUGACAAAACAAACAGACACAUAUGUUUCAACAGAUAACAUAUCUGCUAAAAAUUAUCAAACAGAUAUAUAUAUAUCUGUUGCAACAGUUGACUAACCUGUUGCACCAGAUACUUUAUCUGGUGCAACAUAUGUCUCGUCUAUUUUAGCAAAUCAAACAGCUCUUUGUACAGCUUUUAUUUGUACCAACAGACAACCUAUCUGCUGCAACAGAUGAUUCAUAUGUUGCAAUAGAUGGUUCAUUCAUUGGAAAUUAUCAUACAGGGUCUUCCUCAUGUAUAAAUUUGUCCCAACAGUUAAUUCAUUAUUGGAACAGAAAUAUAUUAUGUUUGGGAUAAUUUAAAAUGGGAGGAAGACCUGUUUGAUUUGCUAUAAGAGAUGAGUUAUCCUUUUUCAUUUUGUUGUAUCUCUGUGAUUAGCAUUGAUCAAUUUUGGCUUUCCAGGUGGAUGUAAAAAAAGCUACUGCUGAACAGCAUUGGCAAUAUGCUACUCUUUUUAUGGAAAUACGGAGAAUAGAAAGCGCAGAAACCGUACGCAAGCGACAAUGAAGAUCCGCGACGAGCAAAGCCGAAUUUCAUAGCACCGGAUGAAGAACAACUUGUCCAUACUGAGUAGAUCUUUAUAGCUUGAGCCUGUCAAAGAAAUCCUUGGCAGUAUGCUUAAGUUGUUGCUGAUGUAUUUAUUGAGAUCUAUACCCAUAAUAAUUUUUUUACAUUUCAUUUAUUCGUUAACUUAUUUCAUCUAAUUUAUGAAGCUUUGAUUUAUUUUAUUUUGUCUACGAAUUUUAUUUAUUCCAUAGAUUUAAACUUAUUAAUUGAAAAGGAAUACUAGAUUCAAAUAUUGCAACAGAUAAUGUAUCUGUUGCAAUAGACGAUACAUCUAUUGGAAAAUUCGAACAGAUUUAGACAUAUGUUGCAACAAGUAGGUGAUCUAUUGAAAUUUAUCAAACAGGUCUUUCCACUGUUGCAACAGAUGGACUUUAGAUAAAAACAUCAAGAUAAUGCAACAGAUGACAUAUCUAUUGAAAAAAAAAGAACAGAUUUAGAAAUAUGUUGCAACAGAUAGACUUUAUCUGUUGCAACAGACGACACAUCUAUUGGAAUAAUCAAAUAAAUUUAUACAUAUGUUGCAACAGGUAGGUUAUCUGUUGGAAUUUAUCAAACAGGUCUUUCCACUAUUGCAAAAGAUGGACUUUAGAUAAAAAUAUUGAGAUAAUGUAACAGAUGACCAACCUAUUUCAACAGAUAAACUAUAUGUCAGAACAGGUAGGAUAACUACUACAAAGGAUGGAGAAUCUAUUGCAUUAUAAAAAUUCAACUUUUGUUGGAUAUAAAAAAUUACCACUAAGUGUAAAAAGGUUAAAGUGAAUUGAAAUAAAAUAGGCAUCAAGUAUACAUGUUAUUUUAAAGACGUAAAAUAAAAUAGACAUCAAAUGUGUUAGUGUCAAUCCUGGCACAUUUCAAUGACUUACCGCCACUUGGCCCACAACGGUCGUUUUUUUUCCUCCAUUGUCUUAUAUAUUCAUCUUCCUCCUAAAAUUUAAUCCUAAAUUCCUAAAUCUUCUUCUUCAUCGUCAUCUUCUUUUAUCUAUCCAAAUUCUUCAAAUUAUUACUUUCAUUUUUUCCAGCUGACCUUGACAAUGUCGAGCGCAUCUUCCACUAUUUUUUGUGAUAAAGAUUUUCGAUUUUGUAACUGCGGUCAUGAAGCUCUGUUAAAGACUUCUUGGACUCAACAAGGUCGUAGGUUUUUUACUUAUAAGAUUUCAAAGGUAAUAUUGUUUUUAUUUAAUUAAUUGAUUAAUUAUUGACUUGUAAUUAUUUUGUAAUUGUGUUCUCUUUUUUUUUUAUAGAAAUUGGGUGGAUGCGAUUUCUUUAAUUGGUAUGAAGAACGAUACCCUUCAUAAACAAAUCGCGUAAUCUGGGGUUUAUUGAACAAAGUCAAGGCUUCUGAAGAGAAAUAAAAUUGAGCAAGAAGAUACUACAUUGUUGCCAUUAUUGCUACUGAUUUGGUGUUGUUGGGCACAUGGAUAUUGAAGCCUAAUUUCUGAAACUUUCAUGGCGGUGUGUGUGUUUGAUAAUGGUUUAUUGUCGACGAGCACAUGGAUAUUCAAGCAUAACUAUUGGAAAAUAUCAAAAAGAUUUAGGCAUAUGUUGUAAAAUUUAGGUCAUCUGUGGAAAUUAUCAAACAGGUCUUCAAACUGUUGUAACAGAUUAGACUUAGAUUAUUAGAUUAUUCAUAAAAAUUAUCAAACAGGUCUUUCCACUGUUACAACAGAUUAGACUUAGAUUAUUAGAUUGUUCAAAUAGAUUUUCCCACUAUUGCAACGGAUUGACAAUCUAAUCUAUUGCAUUAUAAAAAACUCAAAUUUUAUCAGAAAAAAUUAUUGUCACUACAUGUACAUGUAAUAAAGUGAAGGGUGACUUGAAAUUAAAAUUUUUUAUUUCACAGGCUCUUCUAUAUACACAGGCUUCAAGCGUCCAGUUAUUACCCCAUAAGCCCAAACCUCUUGCAGGUUUGCCACAACGUUGUCGCACAAAAAAUUUAUUGGCUCGGCCAUUUCUGUUUUGAUCAGCAAAUAUUCGAUGUAUGCAAGAGCGUGCGAGCCGCUCGCUUUAGCGGCAUAAUCUUUUGGAAGGAUCAUUCCCGUAUUUCGAUCUCUAAAAUCUCAUGAUUUCUUCAUCAACACUUCCUUUGAAAAAUGAUUCAUUAGUUUACUCUCCCUCAACAAGAUGGAAAAUAGCACCAUCAGUGGCUCCAUGAGGAGAAAAAGGUCAAAAUCAUCGACGAGAGGUACGUUGGAGUCAUAAACAUUGAUCUUUCCCUCCUCGAGUAGUAUCUCAACAGCCCGAUAAUGCAUGUCGUUCACGCUAAUGACUGUAAGAAUCCUUUUUGCCUCAGUCCAGCUCUUGCCGUGUGGAUUUGGCCUGUCCCCUCUAACAUAUCUUAAUUUUUCUUCUUCAUCCAAGACUAACGUAGGAACUAGGAAAUCAAGUCCCAUGCCAAGGGCUGACACCUUUCCAUUGAGUUGAUUGUACCUAUCCUUGAUCUUCUUGCAGAAGUUGAGGUCCAUUAUCCUAUCAGCAGCGUCAUAAGCUUCUCGAUACAUUAAUUUCCUUUUCCUCAUGAGGUAGAGAAUUAUGUCAACAUGCUGUGAGAAAAGAAGUCAUUUUUUAGAGAAGUCAAUUUUUAAAUAGGUUAGUAAUUGUAAAGAUGCAAUGGAUGAUCCAUUUGUUGCAUAGGGUUCUCUGAAUCAAUUAUCCAAUGCAACUUAUACAACAGAUGGAUAAUAAGUUGCAACAGAACCACAAACAGUUGCACCAGUAUACCCAGCUGUUGUAAUAAGUGUGAAAUCUAUUGCGUAGCUUCUUCUUCAUGGGGUAGAUUAGAAAGGAUAGGUUCGGAAAAGUAAACUUGCCUUGUCCUCGUACGGCAUACAUAUAUUAGUCAUAGUUUGGAAGUCUUGGGGGGAAAAGGGAGGCCUGGGGUAAUCUGGUGCACCUGGCUUGGCAUUCUUGGCCUGUCGUAGAUCUCUCUUCUCUUUGGCGCCAAGUUUCGCAUAUAUGUCCACCUUCUUGACUGGCCCAUGAACUUCAACAGCUUUUGGAGAGAAAGGAAUUGCAAUUUCUUUUAAUUUUCGAGCGGAGAGUACGUCUCUAAUUGAUCAUUUUUUUCUCCUAACCAAUGAUGUAGGAGUGUGUAGCUCCCUCACCUUCUUGGAUGGUAUGACGCACCUCUUGGAUUUGAAUUCCUUGAUAGCUUUAGAGAUAUCCUCUACUUUUUCAAAGAGUUUAUCCUGUCUGUCCUUGCACUCAUCACAUUCGCAAUGAGAACACGAGGGUAAAGAGGGGUGAGAGGGACAUGUGUAAAGGCGAAAAAGGGUGUUUUCAAACAUAUUUAUUCUUUCUUGAGUAUCAACAUACUUAUCAUCAUGAUUUGUAUCCGCAACAGCAUGCCUUCCACCAACACCAACAACUCCACCAGAAGAAGCACCCGGAUCUGCCUUAUAAAAGGUUGGUCAUGAAGAGCCUUAACAUUAGGCUGAACUUGCCUAGCUGCUCUUCUUAUGGCUGUUGCUCCAGCCAAUUCUUUCUUUAUUAACACCAUCGUUGGGUCUGCAAUAGUAUCAACAUGACCUAGAGUAAUAUAAGAAGUCAUCACCGACUCCUCCUCAGUAGGCACGAUCCAUGGAUGCACAACCUAUAAAAAGAGAAAAAAGACAGAUGUAUUUAAAUCAUAUAAUAUAAUAAUUUUCACAGUUGGGCUACAUUUAAAAAAAAGACCCAUCUAUUGCAUAGUUUGCAGUAUAUGGUUAAAAUCCGUUUGAGUCUGGUUCAGAGAACAGAGCAACACAUAAAUAAUCUGAUGCAAAAUAUCAAUCAUCUGUUGCAACAGCUGCACAAGACGGGUAAUCUGUUAUGCAACAGAUGAUCUGUACGUCACAACAGAUGAAUUAUAUGUUAUCAGAUUAAACAUCUGUUGCAUAAUUUACAGUAGAUGGUUAAUGUUUUAAGAGUCAGGUUCAGAGAACCAAAGCCACAUAUGGGUAAUCUGAUGCAAGAUAUAUCCCGUCGCAACAGAUAUCCCAUCUGGUGCAUCAGAUAUAAUAUCUCAUGUACUAGAUAUAACAUCUGCUCAAUAUCUUUCUUAUCUUUGAGUAGAAUUAUUUUACUUGAAGAAGACGUACUGCAUCAUCCGGAGGGUUAAAGAGAUCAGUCUCCUUAAUAUUUGUGUUGCUCUUUCCAUCCAACCACCUAAACAUCCUUGGAUGAGGAACCUCAUUCGGAUAAUCCAUUAACUUGUUUUGGAGGGGAAGAAUGACUUCAAAUGCCCAAGCCUAAAAAGUGUAAACAGGAAGCAAGCAAAAAAAAUCAUAAUAACUAUAUUCAAUAUAAAUUAAUUGAUGAGUAAAAUUAGUGAUUAAUUUUACCAUGAAAACCCAAGAAAAGCCGUAUAAUGUGGUUGUCCCUGAGGAUAUCUUUGUCGGUAAAUAUUGGACAGUCAAGUAGAAGCUGUCAUAUCCCUAGGGAUAAUUGUUGACUGUAUCAAAAUCCUCAGCACGCGCCAACAAAUAAUCUUCUAGGACCUUGUUGAUGUCUCUUGCCAAUUUAACCGAAUAGGCAAACCAAACUAAGCAUAAUUGCUUCCUGUACUGCUUUUGUAUGGUUUUAUUCUCGAGAUCUGUCAACAAAUUCGAUGCUUUGUAACCACGUCGAGCAAUGUCAAACAACUCAUCUAUUUUUUCCUUGAAUUUUCUUACCUUGGAUCUUUUGCUAGGUGGUGGUCCUUCUGGACGAUGGCAUCUCAGGCCCGUCACUAUGGCAAACUCUUGCAAUCCAAAAUAAACAGGCAUGCCACAGUAGUUGAUCCAAAUUUCAUCUAUCUUCUUUUUGCCCCCUCCUCCGGAUCUUUAUCAUCCCCCGUGUACUUGAUCCUGCGGUUGAGAAGACCAUAUACCAUCGUCAUAGGAAAACGGAUACGGGCAGAGGGGUCCUCAGGCAGCUCAAGAAAGCGUCCAAAAUAGCUCUUCUUAAAAAGUCCGCCUAUGUUUUCGUUCUUUAUAAUUUUCUUAAAAUGUUCAAAUUUAUUUUCUUAAAAUGUUCAAAUUUUUUCCCCAUCUGACAUUUAAGUACAAUUUGACCAGUUAGUUGUUUUCUUUCUGGGUCAUUUAUCGGCAUUGCAACUUUACACCUAUAAAUAAUAAAAGUUUUAAUAGGAUCAUGCUGGGAUGUCGAUAUUAAAUCACGCCCCAUUGGUGAUUCAUUAUCAUCAUGUUGAUGAUCAUCCUCUUUCUCUUUCUGCCUCUCCAAUUCGUCCUCUUUCUCACUUUCAUUUUCUUCAUCAUAAUCUAGGGACCCUAAUCCACCUCCCUCAACGUUGUUUUCACAUCUUUCCUCAGCUUCACUUUUCCCUGAUCGAGAUUGUUCAGGAAGCUCCUCCGAAUCCCUCUGUACUCUAGGUUUUUUUUUGAGUGGUCAGACGUUGAUCCACUUUCACUUUCUUUUCUUUUGGGAGACAUGUUUUCCUACAGACAAAGAAAAAGAAAAAUUACAUUACAAUUAAUGUAUGCAUAGAUUUUAAAAAAUACAUUACAAACACCACGAAUACCGACACACCAACAGCCACCACCACAAACACCACCAACCAAUGCCAACAAACAAACAAACACCACGAAUACUGACACCACCAACCAAUACCACCACCGGUACCACCACGACGACCACAAACACCACCACCACCACCACCACUACCAUGACCAACAUCAUCCAACUAUACCACGACAGAAAAUGGAAUACUGCGAUAGAAACUAGGGAUUUAUUGAGUUUUUCCUAUGAUUUUAUCAUCAAAACUCAUAAUUGUAAUCCAUUCUCGAAGAUAAUACAACUAAAAGUUUUAUUUUUCAUCAUUAACUUAAAAGCCCUUAGUUUUUAGAAGAAAAAUAAAUAAAUAUAGAGCUCUUCUCGAACUCUGUUGCCUACAAAGACAAAGAAAUGACUGAUACAAGCAAGAAUGAUGUCAAAAAUAAAAUCUAUGUGGUCGGAAAUAAGAAGAAAAAUGAUCUGUUGUGAAGGGUUGAGCAAAUUUGUUGAGUAGUUGUUGUCUGUACUGUAUUAUUGAGUGAGAAUGAGAGAGAAAGAGCCAGACCUUGAGAUUUGAAAUGAUGAAACAUUUUGUAUGGGUUAAUUUGUAUUUUGGAAAAGAAUGACAAGUAGUUUUGAAAAUGUUAAUUUGGUCCNNNNNNNNNNNNNNNNNNNNNNNNNNNNNNNNNNNNNNNNNNNNNNNNNNNNNNNNNNNNNNNNNNNNNNNNNNNNNNNNNNNNNNNNNNNNNNNNNNNNNNNNNNNNNNNNNNNNNNNNNNNNNNNNNNNNNNNNNNNNNNNNNNNNNNNNNNNNNNNNNNNNNNNNNNNNNNNNNAGUCUAACAUAUGAACUCAAUUGAAAUUGUAAAAAAUAAAUGUUCAACAUGUUGCGUCAGAUUUCUCAUCUGUUGUAAAUUAUCAAUCAGAUUAGGUAACAACAGAUUAUGAAUCUGAUGUAAAUUAUCAAACAGAUUAAGUCAUCUGUUGCGAUAGAUUACCCAUCUAUUGUAAAUUAUCAAAUGGAUUGUUAUGUGUCACAAUAGAUUACCCAUAAGUUAUAAAUUAUCAAAUAGGCACUACCAUCUGUUGUGGCUGACCCUAUGAGAACUCACCCCUAGUCCUAGAUUAUUCAAUCAAGGUAUUAGUACCCUAGUCCUAGAUUAAUCAAUUAAGGUAUUAGUCUAACAUAUGAGGUAGUAAGAAUUGGUUCAGCUCAGAGUGAUCGAUUGCCGGCUCUGGUCAGGAAAAAAGCAGUACCGUUUCAUUAUGCAAUUGACAAAAGACUCAAUUGAAGUUGUAGUUGACCCUAUAAGAACUCAUAUUCAAUUAAGGUAUAGUCUAACAUAUGAACUCAAUUGAAUUAUAUAUAUACAAAUGUUCAACUUGUUGCAACAGAUGUCUUUUCUGUUGGAUCAAAUCAAAUAGAUUAUAUAAUCUGUUGCAAUAUAUUACACAUUUAUUGUAAACUAUCAUAUAGAUUAAGCCAUUUGUUGCGACAGAUCACGAAUCUGUUGUAAACUAUUAAACAGAUUAAGUCAUCUGUUGUAACAGAUUACUCAUCUGUUGUAAAUUAUCAAAUGGAUUGAGUCAUAUAUUGCAAUAGAUUACCCAGCUGUUGUAAAUUAUCAUAUAGACAUUGUCAUCUAUUGUAGUUAACAUUAUGAGAACUCACCCCUAGUCCUAGAUCAAUCAAUUAAGGUAUUAGUCUAACAUAUGAGGUAGUAAGAAUCGGUUCGGCUCAGAGUGAUCAAUCGACGACUCUGGUCAGGAGGAACACAAUACCGUCUCAUCAUGUAAUUGAUAAAAGACUCAAUUGAAGUUGUAGUUGACCCUAUAUUUAAUUAGGUUAUUAGUACCUUAGUCCUAGAUUAAUCAAUUAAGGUAUUAGUCUAACAUAUGAGGUAGUAAGAAUUGAUUCGACUCAGAGUUAUCAAUCGACGACUCUAGUCGGGAGGAACGCAGUAUCAUCUCAUCAUGCAAUUGCCAAAAGACUCAAUUGAAGUUGUAGUUCACCUUAUGAGAACUCACCCCUAGUCCUAUAUUAUUCAAUCAAGGUAUUAGUACCCUAGUCCUAGAUUAAUCAAUUAAGGUAUUAGUCUAACAUAUGAGGUAGUAAGAAUUGGCUUGGCUCAGAGUGAUCAAUCGACGACUCUGGUCGGAAAAAUACAAUACCAUCUCAUCAUGAAAUUGCCAAAAGACUCAAUUAAAGUUGUAUUUGACCCUGUGAGAACUCACAUUAAACUAAGGUUUUAGUCUAACAUAUGAACUCAAUUGAAAUUAUAUAUAAAUAAAUGUUCAACCUGUUGUAACAUAUGUCUUUUCUGUAGGAUCAAAUCAAACAGAUUAAGUAAUAUGUUGCAACAUAUUAUGCAUCUAUUGUAAACUAUCAAAUAGAUUACGCCAUUUAUUGUGACAGAUCACGAAUCUAUUGUAAACUAUCAAACAGAUUAAGUCAUCUACUGCACUUAAAUAUUUUUUAAUCCUUUUUUUAAUAAAGCAAUUUAGGUAUUUCCUGUCCGAGAUAAAAUAGUUAAAAUACUAAGGCAGUAAAAAAUAUUACUCGGUACAACUUUGAUAACUCAAAAAUCUCCUGAGUGAGUAGUCUUAUCUGGUCUUUUCAAUGUCACCUUCUCUUCGUUCCCCUCAAAAGUUAUCAAUAAAUAAUUAAAACCCGCCACAUCUAGAACUCUCUCUCCUUAAGCCAUAAAGUAGUCUAGACUAGACUCAACUCAUAACUCUUCUUUAUUCUUUAUUCUCAAUUAUCUUUGUUGUUUUCUUUUUCCUCUCUUUUCUCUCUUCUUUCGGAUGAGGAUCAUUUGGAUCUCAACCAAUCAAUAUCUUUUCUCGACUGAACUGGAUGUUCUGAUCUGUUUGCUUUUUUGACAUUGUAGGUAUGGUUCAAAGUUGCUCUUUUCAUCUCGUCUUCUUCUUUGUAUGUUAUUUAAAUUAGUUAUUUACAUCUGUUGCUAUCAAUGAUUUACCCAUUACCAGUUUGCUAUUUAUUAAGAAAAUUGAAGAAAAGGUAACUUUUAAGUCUUGAAUGAACGAACCAUUGUUUUUAUUAAAAUAUGCAAAAAAAGUUAUCUGUUGGGAGAACUUAAAAAGCCUUAUUAUCAGUAUAGUUUUUUUUAUGUCUUUCGUUUGGUACUUUGGUAUUGUUGUUGUUGGGGGUGGUGGUUGUGUUGGAACAUGUGAUGUUUGUGUUGUGGAUGGUGUUGGAACAUAUGGUGUUGUUUUGUUUGUUUCUUUGUUGUUAAUGCUGUUGUUGGAGGUGUUGUAACUAUUUUCUCAACUGUUGCAACUGAUGAAUCAACUGUUGGAAUAGACGGAGCAACUUUUUAAAGAAAUCAAACCAGUAGCAAGGCUGGUUUGAUUUAUUCCAAUAGAUGGCCAUCUGUUGCAAUAUGUCAUCCAUCCUUUGCAAAUGAUGCCUCAUCGAUUGAACAGAUAGGUAAUCUGUUGCAUCAUAUUGGUUAUCUGUUGAUUCACUCAAUUUUGUGUUACCCUUUUUGUAAUUUUCUUUUUGUUCUUCUCUUGUUUAACAUCAAAUGUAUUUCUCUUGUUUGCAGACAAAAGGAAGUGAAAUUGGAUCCACUUUUGCUCGGCCAGCAUUAAAGGCUAGAGUAAAGAUGGGUUUGGAGGAAUAAGCUGCUUGCAGAUGGAACCACUUCACAUGUGGAAGGUAUGUAUUACUGAUCAAUCUAUCAUGAAAACACAUAUCCAGUACAAUGAUUUUGUGAAUGUUUGUUUUUUACCUAUUAGGCAUUAAUUCUUCAAACAAGAUAUGGAGUUUACAAUUAAGAUUGUUAGGUUUGAACUGGCAAGGCUGAGGGACCAAGACGGUGGUGUCGAUAUCCCGUUACAAUUUGAUGAUGGUUGAUGCUCAUAUUUUUGUGUCAAGUUUGGGGAAGGGUUCAAGUUUUUGGUGGCAGUGUAAAUAUUCAAUAGUGAUUGGACCGGUUUUAAUGGCACAAUAGACUUCUUGAAAGGCCUCCGAAGCCUCGUAAUGUAGCAAACAAUGAUAGAACCAAUAGAAAUUCUCCUGGUUCAAAUUUAUAUGGAUGGGUUAUUGAAGGAGACUAUUAUACAACAGAGGGUGUUUGGGAGAAAACCUGUGCGGGAAGAAGGAGGUUGAGAAGGCCAUAUAUCAUCUUAGUACUUGUUUAAGAGGAUACACAGGGUCGGAAGGAAAGUGUAGCGAAAUUAGCUUAUGAAAUUGACAUGAAAAAUGAAAAAAAUGGAUGAGAUGCGAAUGUGAAAGUGUAUCCAAAAAUAAAAAUCCAUCAGUCGUUGAAGAAAAAGAAGAAUGGUCAAGAGGAAUUGACCCUGUGUGUCCUCUUAAACAAGUACUAAGAUGAUAUAUGGCCUUCUCAACCUCCCUCUUCCUGCAGAGGUUUUCUCCCAAACACCUUCUGCUGUAUAAUAGUCUCCUCCACCAAUUCAUCCAUAUAAAUUUGGACCAGGGGAAUUUCAAUUGGUGCUAUUGUUGUUUGCUGCAUUGCGAGACUUUGGAGGCCUUUCAAGAAGUCCAUUGUUCCAUUAAAACUGGUCCAAUCACUAUUGGAUAUUUUCACUACCGUAAAAAAUUUAAACCCUUCCCCAAACACAAAAACAUGUGCAUGAAUCGGGUCAUUAAAUUGUAACGGGGUAUCGACACCACCAUCUUGGAACCCUUCGGCCUUAUCAGUUCGCACCUAUCAAACUAAACUAUAUACUUUAGGAUCUUGUUUGAAGGAUCAGUGUCUAAUCAUCGGUAAAAAACUGCAUUCAUAAAAUCAUUGCACUUUAUGUGUCUUCACGGUAGACUGAUCAAUAAUAUACAUAACUUGCAUGCAUGAAAAUGGGAUCCAUUGCACGCAUCUUAUUCUUCCUACCCCAUCAGGACAUGUUAGUGUUGUUUAUUCAUCUGCACGAAUGUGAUGACUAUUAAAAUGGAGGUGUGAAGAGUCGUGACUUUUUAUCUUAACAUAUUCAAAAAAGCUGAUGAAUCGAAAUCUCCAUCUGUUGUAACUGACGAAUCAGCUGUUGGAAGAAAUCAAAACAUCUCCUCCAAACAUAUGGUCCAUCUGUCGCAACAGAUAAUCUAUAUGUUGCAACAGAUAGUAAAUCUGUUGCGAUAGAACUGACUUUUUUUUUAAUUAAUCUGUACGCAUGUGAUUACUUCUUUCUAAAUAUGUUUGUUUCAAUUUAGUUUUCCUAUUUAUAAAAUCAAGAGAAUUUUAUUAUAUUCUUUCAAGAUUACCCAUAUUAUUAAAUGACUACAUAAAGUAUAUUAUUCAUAUUUAUACUUUCUAAUCAUAAUUAAUAAGGCCAAUUUGGUAAAACAAUCACCUAACUUAUAUUUUUAUUAAUUGGUGUGCCAAGCCCAUGGGGUCCAACUAAUAUGUAACGGAGGGACUAUUAAAAAGAGGUGAAGAGUUUUUAUCUCACACAUUCAAAACAGCUAAUGAAUCGAAUACUCCAUCUGUUGAAAUUGAAACUAAUGAAUCAGCUGUCAGAAGAUAUCAAAACAUCUCCUCCAACUUAUACAUAUUGUCCAUCUGUUGCAGCAGAUAAUACAUAAGUUGCAUCAGAUGUCUUAUUUGUUGUAUAUAUAAACCAUCUAUUGCAACAGAUGGUAAAUCUGUUUUGACAGCCGUCUGUUGCACGUUCAAUCCAUCCAUCUGUUGCAACAGAUGUUAAAUCUAUUAAAAAUAUUGGAUGAUCUGUUGCAACAGCUUAAUAAUAACGGCUUUUAUUGAGUCUCAAACCUCUAUGAAAAGGUAAGAAGUAAUUAGUGUAAAAGAAAAAGUCGCGACUUUUCACAGAAAAUAAAAUGCCACCAGUUUGAAUGUAAUUAAUACAAUGGAGCUGAACAGUCCUGCCUUUUGGCCUGACAGGUCCAAAUUAUAUUAUAGGUCCCUCAAUCUUCAUUCAACUCUAUUUAUUUCUUACAUUUUUUUCUUUCGUGUGACAUCUUCAACCACUUCUCUUUAAAGAGCAUAUUUCUUUCUCGUUGAGGUAAUUUUUUUUCUGGUGUAAAUUUACCAAUUGGUUGUAUACAUUGUAUUAUAUUGUGAAUAUUUUUAUUUAUAUUUGUAAAUUCAUGCUUGUUCUAGAUAUGACUGAUCCUUUUUCGGACAUUGCUAUUCUACGUGACACAGUGCGGAAACUUCAAAGGCAGGUUAAUGACCUGCAGAGCGAGUUGGUUGUUAUGAGAGCGACAAUAUUCAGAGAGAUACAGAGGCUGAUCAGAGCCCUGCUGCUGCGAGUUGAUUGACCGCCUGUCAUUAAUGAUGAUGAAGAUGAUAAUAAUAAUUAGAAUGUAUUUUUUCUUUUAGCGUAUGUAUUUUAAUUUUUCUAUAUUGGAUCUAUACCUAAUGUAUUUUAUUUUUCAUUUAAUGAAAAAUUUACUUUUAGUCAGACUUUGGCUUUUUAAUUCUUAUUCAAUUUUCAUUCUGUUUUCUUCUAAUCUAAUACAUGUUAACAUGUCGACGGUCGGAGGAAAUGUUAAAUCCAGUAGCACUAGCAAUUUUGGCUUUUGAGUUCUUUCAAAAGUUGGAACCGAUUGGUCAUCUGUUGCGUUUCAACAGAUUAUCCAUCUGUUUCGACAGAUUUUCAUCUGUUGGAGGAAAGCAUUCCAGUUGUUUGUGCAACUGUUGAGAAUAAUUAUGGUCUGCUGUAUUAUUUAAGUUCAUGUUUUGCCUCAUUUUAUUGAUGCAUAAGUUAUUUUACAAAAAUAAAGACAUUUCAUAUAUAAUAAAUGAUAACAUUAGGUUCACAACAAUGAGUUAAAUAUAUAAAAGUCCAUAACAAACAAACAAAGAAACAACAACACAAGUUUCUGUAAUUACAACGAUCAUGGUGGAUUAUGAUUCGGGCAUAUAGUUCUUUUGUGGCCAGCGCACUUACAUAUGGAGCACUUGUUUCUUCUUGAUCAAAAUGAUUCUCCAACUCCAUGCCUCCUUUUAUUUGGCUUUCUUCCCGGUUUGAUAGUGCUCGGGUCAAUAUAUGGAGGAGGUAUUAAUCUCUCCAUAAGCUCUACUGGAACAACCCAAGAUUCUUCAGGAGGCACCGAAGUAAUAUGGUCACUAUAUGCCAUUUCAUAUUUUUCCACUGAAUAAUAUUGAGAGGAGUGCUCGUAAACUUCAGGUCCAUAUUUAUGGCCGUAUUGAGCUCGAAGGGCUGCCAUAGCAUGUGGAUAAGGUAUUUUGUCCAAGUCAAAAACUCUACACGUACAAGAUCUUGUUUGAAGAUCGACCGUGGCAGCAUCACCAUGACCGGUGAUACAGAAUUUGUAAUCUGCUAUUUUAUGAGACAAUAACCUAUUCCCAAAACUGAUGUUCGUUGAUAUUUUCUUUUUGAUUUUGAAAACAAAUCGAGUUCUUUUUUCUGGGCACUUGAACCGCACACGCCUUUCGUUAAAAAAUCGCUAUAUUUCUCGCUUAUUUAUUCAAACAUAGCCUUUAUGGGAAAUUCUCUUUCAUUGCCAAACAAGGAAUUCACUGAUUCAACUAUGUUUGAUGUCAUAAUAUUGUACCUAUAGAAAAGAAUCACUUAGUACGACAUCAAACUAAACCUGUAAAUCAAACAAGACAUUAAAUUCAUAGGAAUGUACCUAUUUGCUGGAUAGAAUGCCCGACUCCAUCUCUUGAAACUGACACGUGCAAGAAAUUCUGCUACCUUGGGAUUCACAUCCUCUACUUGAUUGAAAUGGUCUAAAAACUCCUCUCUACUAUAUGCUUUAGCUGCUUUAUAAAAAAGGGUGACGACCUUUUCGUUGUGAUAGUUGUUUCGAAUGUUCUCUCCAAGAUGCCUAAUGCAACAACCAAAGUAAGCUGAAGUGAAGAAAAGUGAACCCAUCUUUGUAAUACUUAGAUGCCUAUCCGAUACAAAACAUAACUCUUCGGUAUCUUCGAUUCAGCAUCGUAGUUGUUCAAAAAAAUUCAUAAGAGGCAUCACAUUUCUUGUCCGUUACACAAAAAGCAACAGGAAAGAUGUGAUUCUCUGUAUCCUGCGCCACCGCCGCUAGCAGAAUUCCAUUAUACCUACUCCUCAAGAAGGUACCGUUGACGGCUAUACCUUUUCUCAAAUGUUGAAAACCUUAAAUCCAAGCACCAUAGGAUACAAAAAAGUACUUGAAACUUCCGUUUUCAUCCAGAUGCAAUGCCGUCUUACUUUCGGGAUUAGUAGACUCAAUCAUGUAACGGUAAGCAUCCAAGACUUCAUACCCAUGCUCGAGUGUCCCCCAAACCAGGUCCUUAGUAAUCCUCAUGGCCGUAUAUACCUUCUAAAAAUUGAUCAGGACACCCAAAGUCAUAAGGAGUUGAUUGGCCAUAAGCCUUGUUGAAGGGCCUUUGUCAUCGGGGAAACUACUCCUGAAAUAUUCACCGAGGACCUUUGCCGUGGCAUGAGGAUUUUAGCCCGAGAUGUGCUCCAAACCAUAUGUGUGAUGCUUUUCAUGUUUAUGAAUGAAGAAUCUGUCAGAACUUGCGUACUUCACCACUCUCAACCACCACUUGCAGUUCGAAUUAGCACAUUUGAAGCAAAAGACACUGCUCGAAUUAAUCACCUUCUUUAUUCUGAAAUCUUUUUUCACGCAAGAAAUAAACAAAGUGUUAGAUAGUUCAUUCUUCUCCUUGAAUGACGUUCCAAUAAAAAAGCCGAUCCCGUCAUCUUGAAGAUUUUCAGAUUGUGUCGAUUGAGAAGAAUUGCACAUUGUAUUGGUCGCAUCAACGGGUGUAGGUGUUUGAUCAUCAUCUGAAAUAUUCAUGUCUAGAUCAUCCAACCUAUCAUCAAAGAAGUCUUUUUUCUUCUUCUUCUUCUUCUUCUUCUUCUUCUUCUUCUUCUUCUACGUUAUGGUUCUCAUUCUCUCUCAUUUUUUCAACCAUGUACACAUUUAACACCGGCCUGGUUGAAUCACUUAGAUAAGAACACAACCGAACCUGAUCGGUUAUCUUGAAAGGCAGUAUCCUUUGAUUUUUAAAGGAGUUGUGCAUGUAGCUGAUGACGAAUUCUUCUGGUUGAUAAUUCAGUCCACAAAAGCUGAUGAUUAAGUUCACAAAAUCAUCAUAUGAAACAUCACUUUGGACUGUCAUAGUUAUCUUCUCUAGCAUUUCACCCUCCUUCCAACGUCAUACAUAUUAAUUACUUUUCUCGACCCAAUGACCAUGACAAUCCACCCCUAUUGAUAUUAGUCCCUCCAUUAGCGGUACCUAAAUAAAGUCAUUUGUUAAAAAAUUUGAUAGUGAUUUCAUAGUACCGUGAAUAAAUCCCAACAGGUGUGUUAUCUAUUGCAACAGGUAAGUGAUGAGUCGCAAUAGAUUCUUACCUGUUGGAAUUCAUGUUACGGGUCUGAAUAUCUGUUGCAACAGAUGAAUCGCCUAUUGGAAUUGAUGUUAUAACUAAAUCACCUUUGAAGCUGAUUCCAACAGAUGAGUGACAGUUGCAACGGAUAAUUAACCUGUUGCGACAGAUGACUUACCUGAUGCAACAGGUUAUUAAUAUGUUGUAACCUAUGUUGGAAUCGUGUUCAGGUUCUGUUGCAACAAGUAACUAAUCUGUUGCAACAAAUAUGUCAAAUGUUGCAACAGAUGAACCAUCUGUUUAAACAUGAAUCCAAUAUAUCAGUCUUCCUUUGAAACAGAUGUCUCAUCUGUUGCAACAGAUAAUUUAUCUGUUUAAACAGAUGGAUUUUAUGUUGGAUUCAUGAUUGGGUUCUAUCCAUUGUUGGAAAACAACAAUACAAUAGCAGUUACCCAGAUGACAAAUUCAACUAAAAUUCAUAAUUUGACUUACCAACGUCUCCUAUGAAGUAAUGCCAAAGUGAAAAGUGAUGUUAGAAACAAAAUUUGACCUAAGAAAUUGAUCAAAAGCAACAGUAGUGGUAGCAACAACAACAACAAAUGACCAACAAAAACAAGAUGAAGAUGAUAAUGAAGUUGAUAAUGAAUCAGAAGAUGAUGAAUGAAGCAGCAACAACAAUGAACAACAAAAAUCGCUAAGAGAGAGAAAUCAACAAAGGGUGAGAAGAGAGAGAAAGACGCCUUUUUUCCCCUCCGUUUUCCAUUAUAUAGGCUGACAUUUGGAUCAAAGUAUAAAUUUAAAAACUUGUGGGUUAUGUUCAAACUUCCUCAACUUUCUUAAUCCAUAAUAAAGUAAUUGCCACCCCCACCUAAUAAUUAAGACUUGUGUCACUUACACCUUAUUUUAAAACUCUUUUGUCAACUGUGGCCCAAACCCCCCAAUUACUUACGUUUUGACACGUUUUUUUUGAAAAAGUUAUUUAAUACUGAUGUGAUAAAAGACUGUCACACUUUAUCUUGAAUUUCGUGUAAAACGUAAGAAAUUAUUACGUUUUGCAUAUUUUUUUUAUAAAACGUAAGAAAUUAUUAUGUUUUAUAAAUAAAUAUGUAAAACGUAAUAAUUUCUUACGUUUUAUAAAAAGUCAACUCCGUUAGUUGACCGUUAAAAAAAGUGAAAAACAUAAUAAAUUAUUACGUUUAGCCUAUUUUGAUAAUUUUUUAAUUAUAGAUGGUCUAUUUUAGUCAUUUUUUUAAUUUCGUGACUUAUUUUGAAUUCGAGUUCUGUCUAUGUGCUUUAAUAGAAGGGAAGAAAUGGGACGCAUUAAAUGGCAUGCAUGGAGUCAUGGAGAUAUAGUAUAUGUAGGGUAGAAACAUGCAGGACAUGGGCAUGAAGUGAUUGAUUUUUAUCUUUUUGUAGGAUAAGAGUCAUGAAGGAAUUGUGUACCAGAAAGAAAAGAAAAAAAAAUGUCUUCUAUAUACUUUUCCGAACACCUUUUUACUCCUCCUAUUACUUGAAUUCAAACAUCCAUUGGUGAUUAGCAUGCCAAAGAUACUCCUUCCAUUUACUUGUAGCAAAUAUUAGACAAAAAAGGUUUUCCGACUCUAUAAUGAAGAGAAAUUACAUUACACAAAAUUAUAAUGUAAUGCUUUUUAUUUAGGACUUUAAGAAAUAGAAAUUAAUAAAAAGUUUGGAUAAUAAAGAGAUAUACACAAACAGGAAGGAAGAACCAUACAUCGCUAUUACUAGAAGUUAUAUCCCUUGAAACAAAGAAAGUAUAAAUAAGAUAACCAGAGCAGAUUUAAAAUUAGCUUAAACAAACUUUAAAUAAAAAAUAUAAUUUAAUUUAUAGAUCAUAAAUGAAUUUAAAUUCAAUCAUUUUUUACUCCUAAUUCUAUGAGACGAAAAAGUGGUGUGGGGUCUUGAUCUUUAAAAUAGUUACAUAUUCGAAUAGUAAUGCUUUGAAACAAGGUAAACUAAAGAGAUUUAAAAAGUUGAGGCAUUAAAUUCUUUUUUUUCUUUUAGAUUUAGGAGAUAUCAUAAUAAAAUCAUCACUUUUUCCGUCUUAUGACUGAUAUAUUUUUCUCUAUAUUUUUAUUUUUUUUAUUUAUUAUUUGAACUAAUAAACAAGUUUGACAAUAAUAAAUGAAAUCAAUCAAUAAUUAAAGGUUUAAAAAUAAAAUAAAUUGACAACAAUUUUAUAAUGAAUAUAAAAUUGAAUACAUCUCGAAUCUUAAAACGAAUACAAAAUUUUAUCUUCAUGCGUGUAAACAAUUGAAUCUCUUUUCCAUUUUUUGUAGACAUGAUUAUUGAAGGUUCACAUAACUUUACACUAUCAAAAUAAUGUUAAAUGCUACUCGUACUUGAUAUGAAUUUUAUUCUUUUUUAUAUACAAUUUUAUUGAUUAACACAAGACACACAUACAAAAUACGUAUCCUAAAUUAGUAAGAAAUUAAAAGUCCUGCUAGGCUAAUUAAACCCUGUGCAAAUAACAAUAACAACAUGACACCGAUAUACUCAUCAUAAUCUUACAAGUGAAGUAUGAAGGCAUUAUCUCUACCUUAUCAUGAAAGUAGAGAAAUUAUUUUUAAGGGCCCGUUUAGCCAUAAAUAUUUCAAAUAGUUUUUGGGAAUAAAUUUGACAAAUAGUUGUUGGUCAUAUAAUUUGUUAUUAUUUGACAAAUGUUUUUUAAAAAUAAUACAAAUUUUUAAAUACUAGAAAAUAUUAGUAUUUGGGUCAAGUUUUGAUUUUUAUGAACUUUUAAAAGUAAAAUAUAUUUUUUAAAUAUUAUGAUCAAAUACAUAAUAAAAUUUUAAGUAAAUCUUCACUUAAAAAUGACUUGGAAAAAAUAUUUUGGAAUGUAUAGCCAAUUGCUGGCUAAAACAGUGUAACAGCUCCACAUUUUGAAAACAUCAUUUAUCAACAAUUCAACCUAAUAGAAUUUCUGGUAAGCAAUAAUUUUCAAUUAUAUANNNNNNNNNNNNNNNNNNNNNNNNNNNNNNNNNNNNNNNNNNNNNNNNNNNNNNNNNNNNNNNNNNNNNNNNNNNNNNNNNNNNNNNNNNNNNNNNNNNNNNNNNNNNNNNNNNNNNNNNNNNNNNNNNNNNNNNNNNNNNNNNNNNNNNNNNNNNNNNNNNNNNNNNNNNNNNNNNNNNNNNNNNNNNNNNNNNNNNNNNNNNNNNNNNNNNNNNNNNNNNNNNNNNNNNNNNNNNNNNNNNNNNNNNNNNNNNNNNNNNNNNNNNNNNNNNNNNNNNNNNNNNNNNNNNNNNNNNNNNNNNNNNNNNNNNNNNNNNNNNNNNNNNNNNNNNNNNNNNNNNNNNNNNNNNNNNNNNNNNNNNNNNNNNNNNNNNNNNNNNNNNNNNNNNNNNNNNNNNNNNNNNNNNNNCACUAGCGACCCGAACUGGCCCUAAUCCUCUGCCGUAAUUCGCAUCUUCCAGACCUUCCUAUCUAGGGUCAUGUCCUCGGCGAGCUGUAACUGUUCCAUGUCCCGCCUAAUCACCUCACCCCAGUACUUCUUCGGUCUACCUCUACCCCGUCUAAAACCAUCCAACGCUAGCCUCUCACACCUACGGACCGGGGCAUCCAUGGCCCUCCUCUUCAUAGACAAAUAUUGUCAGUUAAAUAAGAUUGUUUUGUUGGUGCAACAUCUAAUAGUUCCAAAAAUAUAAGGACUUCAAUCUUUCUUUAAAAACAUGCAUUCUUUUGCANNNNNNNNNNNNNNNNNNNNNNNNNNNNNNNNNNNNNNNNNNNNNNNNNNNNNNNNNNNCCAUCUCUUUUUUUCCCUUCAUCAUCUUGUACAAUAUUCAAGUUAUUUUCUAUUUAUUUUUUAAAAUUGGGGAAAGAAAGCUAUCUCAAAUAUCUCAACUAAGGAGAUGGGAUGAAGGAAAAUAUGGAGAUUACAAGUUAUGAAAUUGAAUUUGUGCCAACAUGAUAAAAUAUUUAUUGUUCAUUUCUUUUCCGAACUAUUUGGCUAGUUGGGCAGGCAUGAAAAUAUAAAUUUGAAUAAACAUAAUCUCAGUUAAUUUAAGGCAUGGUUACUGAAUUUUACUCAUUACAAUGAUAAAACCUGCGAACCAAUGAUUAUAAUGCUAUAGUUGUAAACAAUUUGAACUAUACUAUUAUUAUAAGUAAAGUCCAGCUACGUUAAUAUGCAAAAGAGAUACUAGUUUUAUGACUUUACUAUUCUCAUUGUUCGUUUUUAUUUGUCACUAUUUUCUUAAAUAAAAUUCUAUUUUACUUGUCACUUUUGACAUUGUUGGAUUCUAAAUGUAUAUGUUAAUAAAUAAUAGACGGAAAAGUACAAUGAAUUUUCACUUUUAAAAAGUAAAGUAAUUGAUAGAGAAAGAAACUUUCUUAUAUUAUCUUGAGAAGUAUUCCUUCAUGAGGAUCGGAUAGUAAGGUAAGAACAAGAUAUGUCUCGCAUCAUCAUCAUCACUUGACUUCGACUUCGAAUUUGGAUCUCGAUUAUCUUUUUGAACAAAAUUUAUUCGAAACUUGAAAAUAAGUGAAGUUUUUAAUCAAAAAAUCAAAUAGAAAAUAUUUCUCCAUUUGCGGACGCAGUCACAACGCACCUUGAAGGAACAUGCUCCUUCGAGGUACUAUUUCAAAAUGAACUGAUGCAAAAUGAUGACCAAUGCGCGCAGGUCGAACGUAGGUCUAGCGCAGGACGUUUUGGUUUGCAGCAAACGCCACCUGCCCGCGCAGGUUGGGUGUCGUUUCAAAAUAGUGCACUAUUUGAUAAACCAUUGCUUCCUUUCUGAAACAUCACCUUUUGGCUAUAAAUACCUGAUUUUUUCCUCAGGUACUUGAGGGAAUAAAUUUCUUGAGAACACAUCGUGAAUUUGUUAAACUUGAUUCUAUCAUUUUCUAUCUUCAUCUUACUUUCUUUAUGUUGGUUUUACUAUUUCUCCAAAAAAUAGUAGAAACUUCAUUUUGAUAGUUCAUACAUUAUUUAAACUUGUGUUUGAAGUUGUUGAAAUUUCUUUAUAGUUCUUGAAGUUGUUCUUGAACUUAGUGUUGAAGUCCAUCUUCUUAAAUAUAGAUUUUGUACCCAGUUUAUAGCAAUCUUAAAGAAUUUAUUAUAAUUUGUAUUUUUGGGUUUCUGGAGAUUAAAGCUUUUGACUUUCUAGUCUGUUUGAACUUAAUAGUGAUUUGAAAAUAAAAAACUUCAUCAAAAGUUAAAUUUCAUUCAAUUGACGAUUAGAAGAACAUAAAAACUUCGUUGUUAAAUUAGAAAUAAGUUGUUUAAAGUUUUAAACUUUAUAGUUAGUAUUCUAACAUACUAAAUUGAUUGUCUAUUUGUGACAGCAAAAAUGAUUGUUGAAAAUCAAGUUAAUGAUGGAAUGGCAAAUAUCGCAGCAACAACUAUUGCUACUUCAAGCCGUUCGAAUGUUGCACCCAUCAUGGCACCAACGAAAAAAUCCAAAAGUUUUCUAAAGUUUAUUUUAAAAAGUGACAACAAAAGAUCACUACUAAAAAAAUUAGAAAAACUGACCACAUGUAAUCGAUUUUUCUCCAUUUCCAACCACAAAAUCGACCAAAAUAUGUGAUCGGUAAAAGUGUGGUAGCUUUUUCAAAACCGACCACGUGUAGUCAUUUUUUUUAAAAAUAUAUAUAUAUAUAUAUAUAUUUAAAAUUCAAUAUUUUUUUUAAAAAAAGAAAAAAAAACUAAAAAUAAAAAAUUNNNNNNNNNNNNNNNNNNNNNNNNNNNNNNNNNNNNNNNNNNNNNNNNNNNNNNNNNNNNNNNNNNNNNNNNNNNNNNNNNNNNNNNNNNNNNNNNNNNNNNNNNNNNNNNNNNNNNNNNNNNNNNNNNNNNNNNNNNNNNNNNNNNNNNNNNNNNNNNNNNNNNNNNNNNNNNNNNNNNNNNNNNNNNNNNNNNNNNNNNNNNNNNNNNNNNNNNNNNNNNNNNNNNNNNNNNNNNNNNNNNNNNNNNNNNNNNNNNNNNNNNNNNNNNNNNNNNNNNNNNNNNNNNNNNNNNNNNNNNNNNNNNNNNNNNNNNNNNNNNNNNNNNNNNNNNNNNNNNNNNNNNNNNNNNNNNNNNNNNNNNNNNNNNNNNNNNNNNNNNNNNNNNNNNNNNNNNNNNNNNNNNNNNNNNNNNNNNNNNNNNNNNNNNNNNNNNNNNNNNNNNNNNNNNNNNNNNNNNNNNNNNNNNNNNNNNNNNNNNNNNNNNNNNNNNNNNNNNNNNNNNNNNNNNNNNNNNNNNNNNNNNNNNNNNNNNNNNNNNNNNNNNNNNNNNNNNNNNNNNNNNNNNNNNNNNNNNNNNNNNNNNNNNNNNNNNNNNNNNNNNNNNNNNNNNNNNNNNNNNNNNNNNNNNNNNNNNNNNNNNNNNNNNNNNNNNNNNNNNNNNNNNNNNNNNNNNNNNNNNNNNNNNNNNNNNNNNNNNNNNNNNNNNNNNNNNNNNNNNNNNNNNNNNNNNNNNNNNNNNNNNNNNNNNNNNNNNNNNNNNNNNNNNNNNNNNNNNNNNNNNNNNNNNNNNNNNNNNNNNNNNNNNNNNNNNNNNNNNNNNNNNNNNNNNNNNNNNNNNNNNNNNNNNNNNNNNNNNNNNNNNNNNNNNNNNNNNNNNNNNNNNNNNNNNNNNNNNNNNNNNNNNNNNNNNNNNNNNNNNNNNNNNNNNNNNNNNNNNNNNNNNNNNNNNNNNNNNNNNNNNNNNNNNNNNNNNNNNNNNNNNNNNNNNNNNNNNNNNNAGUUGUGUUACAAUGUGUGCUUUUACUGUUUCUAGCUGUUGCCUUGCUUGAUUUAAUUUUUGAUCAUAAGAGGCCAUGUAAGAAUUCAAGCCCUUUAGUGCUAUUUUCAAUUAUUUUAGCUUAUUCUAGAUAAUCAUCAUUAUAUCACUCUCAGUAGGUACUUGCCAUACUUGAUUUACUAUCUCUUGAAAGUUAGGAUGCUCAAUGACAAUGACAUAUACCUAAAAGAUUUUGGAUGCAAGAUAGCCUUCUGCACGUACCGGGUCAUAACAGAGGAGUGGUUAGAAACACCUGGCACCAUGUAAUCUACCUUAGCAUGUCCAAACUGUUGUAACCAUUCAAAAUUUCUAAGUACCCAAUCUAUCCUACUAUAUACUCUAUUAGUCCCUUGUUUCUUGUUGCACCAAGUGUAGAGACAAUCGUUUGAUCUAAGAGGAGUAAGUUAUAAUUUGUCAAUCAUGUCUUUAAAUCCUUGUACCUCUAAAUUUGUAAUUGGUUACCCCACUCUAUCAUCUGUAGUUAGUACAUUAUUGAAAUCACCACUGAGUAUCCAAGAGUCUUGGACACUUGCACCGAUGUGCUGUAGCUUAUGUCAUAGAAUAGUUCUUACAAAACCUCAUCUCUAGCAUACACCACAGUGAUAAAAGCUUUAAAGUUACUAUCCAGGUUUUCUACCUUUCAAUGAACAUACUAUCAUGUAUUUAUAAAACAUGCACAUUAAUAUAUUUCUUCUAUAGCUGCCAUAUACGCCCAUUUUCACCAUAAGGAUUAUUAUAACAAUGAUCCCAUUCUUUAUCAAAUUUGGUCAUAAUUAAUUUAGCUUUCACCUCCUUUAUUCUAGUUUCUAAACAACCAAAGAACUCAAUCUUAUUCUUUCUCAAAAAGAGUAAUACCUCUUUCUGUUUAAAGGGCUGAUUCAUCCCCCUCAUAUUCCAUAUACAUUAAUCAUGGAGGCUGAUAAUUAGCAGUAGGAACUGGCCCUGAUGUUAUAGCAUUAACCUUAGUUGCUUUAGCAAGUAGUGCAAAUCAAUUACCUUGGCUUAUUUCUGGUGCUGUUUCAUCUUGUCUACUUGAAGAAGGAGCACUUUCCUUGGUUGAAUAUCCUGCAUCCUCUGCAUUAGUUUGAGGGAGUCGUCCAUCUGCUCUUGCAAGCCAUGCUUGUAAUAUUUUUUUCCUUCUUCUACCUUAUUUCAUUUGCUUGGGUGAUUCUUUGAAUUCCUUAUCCUCCUAGAUUAGUUGCUUUGGAUCUCGCUUCAUUCUGUAGUCCUCAGUGUAGCACCCAUAUUGAAUGCAUUUGUUACAGAGAUUGGUCCUUCAAUCAUAGUCUACCUCUUUCUGGAUUAUUCCUUAUAGAGCUUCAAUUUCUAUAGCCUCAGUCAUAGGUCGUGAUAUGUCAACCUCUACCACCACUGUUGCAUAUGAUAUAUGAUUUAUAUUAGUAGUGUACUUAUCAGUGUACAGUGGUUUGCGCAUUGCACUCGCUAGUUUGCUCAGAGCCUCAAUGGACCAAUAUCCCAUUGGUAAUCCCGGGAGAUUUUCCCAUAAUGGUACAGUGGUAAUUGCCUCUUUAUCAAACACAAAAUCAGCUGCCCAUGGCUUCAGUAUGAAUGAUUUGUUGUGAUAAGUAUAUGGUCCUUCUAAAACACUUCUGUUCUAUUCUCCAUCGACUCAAAUUGGUAUACAUAAUAACCCUCAGCAUGAUACAGUAUUUGGGGUUUCUUCACAAAGUUCCAUACCGUAGUGACAAAAUUAUCCAUCGACUUCUCAUAUGGAGCAUCACCCAAUACCUACCAUAUAGGAGCAUUGGACCAGUAAUCAUCAUUUGUCUUAAUGUCAUUUGGUGUAAGCUUGAUAACAAUCUUCCCAUCUUGUUAUUUGGAGGGUUAUAGCUCAAUGUCUGACCUUGUCCAAUUGCCCUAUUGCGUGGAGAGUUCCCUGAAUUCUGGUCAUUUGGUGGUGGAUUAUCCACUUUCGAGCUUGUAGAAGCCCUCAUAUUUGAGAAUUGUAAUCGUCUGGGUAGGGUUGUUGUAAUUAUAGGCUUCUUCCCAUAAAAGUCAUCCAGUCGAAAACUGUUGCAUUUAUUUUCAAUUUCCUUCUCUAAUUCCUCCCUCUCCUCCUGAAUCAGUUGAAAUUGUGAUGGAAGAAAGCUUCCAAAAGUUAGUGGGGAGAUAGUUUUAUGCAUUUCAGUUACUGGGUUUCUAUUGUCAUCAUCUUCUGAGCUUUUUUGUUCUGCCGCCUUGCCAUUUUCAGUGCACGUUAUCCUACCUCAGCUUAGCCUGCGCCGAUGACAGAUUUGGCCUACUUUAGAAUAUUAGAGGAGCUACUUAGACUAAUUUUUUUCUUUCACUUUUUAGUUUAGUGUUAGAAUAAAUAUGAAAAAAGAUUUCAAAUAAAUUUUCCUAUAAGAGAUAGAGGAUUUUGGGAGUACUAUUAAAGAAACUUGAGCUUGAAAAAAUGGUGUGAGU